UGGUGUUUUUGAGGUGAAAAUUGGGGAUUUUUGGCCUAUGUAGUGAAGAGUAAUAAUUGGAGAUUUGAGUGACGAUUUGGUGUCAGAAUUUAGUAAUUUUGAUAUGGUUGGACUCGUGGUUGAAUGGGUGUUUGGAUUUUAUUAAUUUUGUCAUAUCUUGAGACGCGGGCCUGGGGUUGACGUUUUGAGUUGACUUUUUGAUUUUGUUUUUUAAAGAACUUAGCUUAUUCAUAUGGAAUUGAUUCCUAUAGCUCGUGUUGAUUUUUGAGUUGUUCGUUGCUAGAUUCGAGUCAUUCGGAGGCCGAUUCGCGAGGCAAAGUCUUGUUGGAGUAGAGAUUUACACGGUUUUGCGGUAAGUAACACUUCUAAACUUGGCUAUGAGGGUAUGAAUCCCUGAAUUACGUGUUAUGUGGUUAGUGUUGAGGUAAUGCACAUGCUAGGUGACGGGCGUGUGGUCGUGCACCAUGAAAUUGUGACUCAAUCCAUUCAGUGGAACUGUGUAGUCAUCUAAUCUUGUUAUUAUUCGUGUACUCUCCAUGUGUUAGAGGAAUUGAGCUAUAAUUCAUGUUAGAAAUCAUGUUUAGGCUAUAUGCUGGUAUGUUGGGACCCACAAAGGUCAUUUUGUUGUGGAAUUAUUUGCUAAUUUGAAAUCAUGUACUCAGUCACAUCUAUCCUUUACAUAUCAUAUCUCAAUCUCUGUUUCCAUUAUUGUUACAUCAUAUUAUCAUUUUUGGGCUGAUUGUUAUGAGAUUCGUGAGCUCGAAAGACUGGAGAGAUUGAUGACUGAGUGAGGCCGAGGUCCUGAUUGUGAGUGAUGUUUAUGGGAUCAGGUUGCACGCCGCAACAUGCUUUAUUGAUUCAUGCCAUGAUCGACUUAUAUUAGCGCUUGGGCAGGAUCCGCCCCUCCAGAGUCUGACAUACCAACAGUGAGCGCAGGUACCCACUGAGUGCGAGUGCCGAGUGCGAGUGCAAGUGCCAAGUGAUUGAGAGGACUGAGUGUCUGGGAGGAGUGAGUGAUUGAGCAUGCUGAGUGAGAUUAAAUACUCCGAGAGUACGCAUAUGACUUUAUCACCGUGUUGCCUUACAAUUGGCAUGAAUAAUUGACAUGUAGAUGUAGAGAUGUACCAUUCCUCAUAUCAGUCACACUUGGCAUAUUUUAUCCGUGUUGAAUAUAAAUUGUUAAACUUGAAAGCAUGUCUACAUUUAUAUACUAUUUAAAUCUAUUUUUGGACUAUACCUCUAUGAGCUCAUUACUGCUUUCAGCCUAAGGUUAGUCUUGUUACUUAUUGAGUAGAUUUUGUCGAUUGUACUCAUAUUACACUCUGCACUUCGUGUGCAGAUCCGGGUAUUUCGGGGCAUGACGGUUGCUAGCUUUGGAGCUUUUUUUAUUGGAGACUUUUGAGGUAGCUGCCUUAGCGUCUGCAGACCUCGACUCUCCUUCUUUUUAGUUUAUUUGCACUAUUCUAUUUUUCUAGACAGUUGUUUUAGCAGUCAGACUGUAUUGACAUAUAGAUGCUCAUGUACUCAGUGACACCCGGAUUUUGGGGGAUUUUGUAUUGAGUCACGGUAUUUUCUUAUCAGUUAAUUAUGAGAUUUUACUAUUUAAGCUUAUUUUAGUAUGAUUUAAAUUAAAGAUGCGUGGCUAAUUGUGAGUUGUCGGCUUACAAAGGAGCCAUCACGACAUGUGAUAUUUUGGGUCGUGACAAGUUGAUAUCAGAGCCUAGGUUACAUAGGUCUCACUAGUCAUGAGCAGGUUUAGUAGAGUCUUGCGGAUCGGUACGGAGACGUCUGUACUUAUCUUCGAGAGGUUGCCUAACCAUUAGGAAAACUUCACUUUCUUGUACUCUUAUCAUGCAAAUUUGUUGAUUAUGAAAAAUAAACUUUUGUUAUUCUAUUCUCUCACAGACGGUGAGGACACUUGCUACCGGAUCGGGCGGACGGCCACCAGUACCAGCAGCUAGGGCCACGAGAGGCCAGGGCUGCAGUAGAGACCGAGGUGCAGCUCGUACAGCAGCACCUGUAGACCCACCAGUUGCUCCAGCUCAGGAGCAGAUUCCAGACGUGGUUGAGCCGGUGGGGCCAGCUCACGCACAAGUUGUGCCCAUUGUGAUUCCAGGCCUUCAGGAGGCUUUGGCCCAAAUAUUUACUGUUUACACUAGCCUUGAUCAGGCGGUUUCAGUUCCGGCUGCGCCAGCCACUUCUCAGGCCGGGGUAGAUGCUCAGACUCCCGCCAAUCGUACUCCAGAGCAGGUGGUGUGGGGACUUCAGACACCAGGGGUACUACCAGCCCAGCCGAUCGUAGUUGCUCAGGCCCAAGUAGGUCCCACUAUGAGUGACGAGGAGCAUAAGAGACUAGAGAGGUUUGGGAGGCUCAAGCCUUCAUCAUUCAGUGGGGCUGAGUUAGAGGAUGCUCAAAACUUCAUGGAUAGGUGCCAGCGGAUUCUUCGCACGUAGGGUAUUCUGGAGACUAGUGGGGUCUCAUAUACUACUUUUCAGUUGUCGGGGGAAGCCUUCAGAUGGUGGGAGGCCUAUGAGCAGAGCAGCCCAGCCGGUGCUGCACCACUAACAUGGAACGAGUUCUCCGUUCUCUUCUUGGAGAAGUUUGUGCCACCGACCCACAAGGAGGAGUUGCGUAGGCAUUUUGAGCAGCUACGCCAGGAGGGUAUGUCUGCGACCCAGUACGAGAUGAGAUUUUUUGAGUUGGCUCGUCACGCGAUCUGGUUGGUUCCCAUAGAGAGGGAGAGGAUUAUGAGGUUCAUAGAUGGCUUCAACUAUGGACUGUGCUUUGUUAUGACUCAGGAGAUUGCAUCAGGUGCUAGGUUCGACGAGGUGGUUGAUAUUGCUAGGCAACUAGAGCAAGUCCGCAGUCAGGAACUUGAGGAGAGGGAGGCCAAGAGGCCUCAUGGUUUGGGUGGUUUUAGCGGUGUUUCUUCUGAAGGGCGGUGCUACCACAACAUGGGUUAUCCUUAUAAGCCUGCUCAAAUGGCUCGUUCGGUUCAUCGUGGUGCAUCAGCUAGCCAUGGUUCGUAUAGUGCUCGUCCGGGUCAGUCAUCUCUUAGUGCCCUCCCAGCUCAUUGUUCAUCUCGUGCUCCAUCUUUUUAGGGUUCAUCUGUGCCAGGUUCUUCUAGUAGUUAUUCUGGUUCUCGGGGUCCGAUUCAGUCCCCACCACCAUCGGGGAGUUGCUUCAAGUGCGUGGAGUUUGGACAUGUCUGGAGGCAGUGUCCCUGUCGCUUUGGAGGUCCAGUUCAGUAGAGGGGUCAGGAUAUGGCUUCCGCACCAGUUACUUCACCACCCGCCCAGCCAACUCGGGGUGGGGCUCAAGUAGCUAGAGGUCGCCCUAGAGGGAGAGGCCGAUUAGGUGGCGGUCAGGCUCGAUUUUAUGCUAUACCUGCCAGGCCAGAGGCCGUUGUUUCAUACGCAGUGAUCACAUGUAUUGUUUCAGUAUGCCAUCGGGAUGCUUCCACAUUAUUUGUCCCUGGUUCUACUUAUUCAUAUGUAUCGUUGUUGUUAUCCAAAUAGUAUAUAUACUUUCAAAAUAUCAUUUUGCAUAAUUACCUAAUUUACAAGGGUUAUACAAGUAUUUUCUAUAAUUUUCCAUAAUUUUUGAAAGAUUCAAAAUUGAUUUUUUUUGCAUUUAAAUUAUUUAAAUACUUAUUAAUUACCCUUUCAAAUUAUUUUAUAAUGACUUAAUCAUCCAGAUUUGUUAUUUACACCCACAUACAUAUUUUAAAAUAUUUUUUACUUCAUUUCACAUAAUCAUAUUUGCAUUGUUUGAGCUAUUUACAUAAGUUUUGCAAUAAUAGCCUAUAUUCUACAAAUAAUUGCGUUUAUCAUAUUAUUUAUGCCAAAAUAGAAUUUUAUAUUUUUUAUAAAGUUGAGUUAUUAUUUUCAAAUAUUUUUUACAACAUUAAUAUUAUUUUUACCAUUUAUUAGACGUUUUAAUAAUUUAUUGUUUUUGUUAAUUUUAAAGGGUUUCAAGAGCUGGCCCAAAACAUGCCAAUUUUUCAGACCAAAUUUGGCCCAAACCAAUUAGCCCAACUAGACAACCCUUUAGAUGACCCGGUCGCGACCCGUCAAAUAACCCGCCCUUUUCCUCUUUGAUCAUGGUCGUUGAUCCUAAAUGAUCAACGACCCAUAAUAAACCCUUCUCUUCUCCUUAUAUCCCCAUAACCCAAACCCUAACCCCAUUUUCAACUAUCAGCCGCCCUUAAACCACUCAACCCCUUCCUCUUCUGAGAAACCCUAAUAGCCGCCUCCCGAUUUCUCUCCGAUUCCAACCUAAAAAUGGAAUCAAUCCGUGAUUCACUUACCUAUUUUGUAAUGCUUUGCUAUUGUAUGCGUCUUUAUGGUGUUACUUAGUUAUCGUCCUAUUUUUGGCAAGAACUACCUUUCAAGAGCAGGCCUGAUUGACUCCGAUUUUGUGAAGAUUUGGGCGAUAAUUCGUCUAUAUACACUCUACAAUGAAUGAUUAUUGCAUUAUCGGUCCGAUUUUUGGCCGUUGGACCCAACUAGGGUUUGAAAUUUCUGUCAUUUCUUUUACCGGCUCUGUUACUGAUUGCAUGUGAUCUUUUCCUUCCUUAUUUACGUUUAUUUGAUUAUUUUUCAUGUUUGUUCUUCCUAAUCUGUCACUAUAUAAACCUCUCCCCAAUUUCCCCUUGACGGGGAUUCUAAUCGCUAAAAAACUACUACUGUCUUUCUUAGUCUCGCCUUACACUAUUCUAAAACUUAAACUCUUGGCCGGCUGAAAGCCAAGGCCACCGGAACUCGAUUAUUUGACCUUUUUCAGUGCGAGCACUGCCCGGGGUUCGUCUGAAACCCUUGGGAACUCUGACGCACUGAGAUUUGGGGUUCUACUGUUCGCUUUGCUACUAACAUUCGAGAUAUUGCUGAAAUUGUUCUUUGUUUACUUACAUGUCAAUUAGUAACUAGUAAGUACCUAUGACCCUUGCAAUUUUAUUCUUUUUUCGUUUGAGUUCCUGUUCUGCAUAUCUAUGUCUCUGAGAUUUAUUUUUAUGAACCAACAUGCUAUUGCAUGCUCUGAAGCUCUUCUUGAGGUUCUACACCUUCUAGUAAUCGAAUUUGCCUAUUUAUUGCCUUGAUUCUGUUUUCUUAAAGCCUGUUUAUUCUAAUGUGCUGCUUAUUCUGGGUUUAGCUUCUUGCCUUGUUCUGUACUCUUGUAAAGAAUCAAAUCAUGCCCAGAACCUGCUCUAAUUCUUGUUGAAUCAUUCAUGUGCAACUUAGUGUUCUAUAGUUAACUCCUGAUUAUGUUAUUAGCCUAAGCAUACUUUCCUUGCUAAUUAUGGAUUAAUGUGUGUUCCCUGUCUUGUCCUGUACCUUUGUGAUAAAUUCAUGCAUGUGUUUCAGACCUGGUUAAGUAGUUCCUGUCCAACCUGCUGAAUUCCUGAUGUUAUACUGGUUAGCUAAAUCCCGUCUUCAUGCCAUUUAAGCUCUAAUAUAUGUUUGGAACUUAUGUAAUCCUAUGCUUUUCAACACUGUCGGGGACCUUAGGAAACCUCAUAACCAGUCCCUCCUCUCCUAGCCUAUCUUGAUUCUGAAGAUUGACAUGCUUCUCGUAUUAUGAUUAGUGUUCUGCAUGCUAAGAUUUCCCUUUUCUAUUAAGGAGUCACUUGAUCAUGAGUUUUGCUCUAUUAAGUUGUUAUUUUCAUUGGUUUUCUAUGAUGAUCAUUCUAUGUGUUGGUUGUACUUUGUUUGCUUCUUGCAUGAAUCUGCUAGACCUUCAUCUAGGGUUCCCUAGAUUGAUUCUGAAUCAUGCCUCCUUAUAGAAACUCUUUAGAAUGGUUUACUAUCCUAUGUAGUCAAAUAGAUCACUCUCAAACUUCUCACUAGAAUUAUGAGCAUAAGUUUGCCUUAUAUGUGUCUUGAAUGGCUUCCAACUUAGCAUGAUUUUGUUUAUAUACCUCGACCAGAGUUGCUGCUAGUUUCACUUUUAAGAACUGAGUGUUUGAGUUGUCCAAUUAAUUUUAUGAGUUGUUUGUUACUCGUUUGGUCGAGUUUGGCAUCCAUUUAGGUAAGUAAAUUAUUUGUUGGGCCUGGAAGGGGGCCAUAUGUGUUGUUGGACUUGGUCACAAGAUUCAGGGGCACUCUAGUUGUUUUCUUGUGAGCCUGUGGUUUGGGCCUGCUGUUGAAAGCCUGGGAUAUCCCCGGGUUACCUUGUAUUGGGCCUGUGAUUGCCUUAGUGAGCUUGUACUUAUUUAGCCUAUAGUUUGUCAUCUUUAAGUAUGUAUUAUUUCCUUCUGGGCCUGUAAUGAUUUGUAAACUGAAUGAUGGGGAGAUUAAUAAAAAGGGAGCUGGGGUAUUAUAAUGCUUGCAUAAAAGGGUAGAAAACAUGUAUAUAGGGUCUAUGUGUUCUAUUUUUCUAUUUCGUUCAGCGUGCCUUAUAUGUAUUUAGUGUGCUGCACACCAAUAGAAUUAUGCCUAUAGGAAUCACGCACACACUGCACUUAACUUGUCAAACAUGUUGGCUCAAGUAAUUGCUAUGCUUGUUACCAUGUGCACUACUAAACGCUUUAGAUGGUAUGCCUAUAGGAUACAAUAACACAUGUUUGCCAAUGUCCAUCUAGAUACUAUGUCUAUAGGGUUUCAAUUAAUCAAUCAAUCAACUGCUUCUAUUCCUCUUAGCACGUUGCUCCUUUAGAUAUCAUGACUAUAGGAUCUUAAUCAACUAAUCGAUUACUUUGUUACUUCAUCGCAUUUCCACACUUAGACAACACGCCUAUAGGGAUAAAGUAUAUAAAAUCAAUUACAGUUGUUCACUGCUAAAAAUCCUGCCUAUAGGACACUGUCACCUACCUAAUAAACAUGUCUGUAAAAUCAGCAUUGGUAAUUCAGAGUUCUGGGAUUGUUUCACUGCCACAUUACGCAGAUCACUAGAGAUCAUGCCUAUAGAUUUGUAAUACCUUUAAUGUGCCCAUACGAUAGUCCAGAAACUGCAAUAUUAACUGUAUAAUGCUGGGAUCCAGAAUCACAUAGAAAUCAUGCUCAUAGGACUUAACGGCUAUAAUGCGUCUUAAUCCUGAAAACUGCCUAUUGCUGAAUCUACCCGCAUACAUUUGUUGUUUAUGUGUGGAGGCUAACUUAGGCCUCUAAUUGUCUUUAUGUGAAGUCUUGAAUGUUUUGAAUGUCGCCUAGUUUUUAUCAUUUUGAGCAACCUAGGAGAAGUCUAGAACCACCCAAAUAGAGGUCCAAAGCCUCCUGGACCAUAGGUAUGGGACGGGUAGCGCACGCAUAGGGUACGACCUAGAAUUGAAUUAGAGCGCCUUUAGGUAAACAACUUUAACAUAGUAAUCGGGUAAUAUGAGAUGAUAGUCUGUGCCCGCUGAAUAAUAUGAGCAACCCCUACCUCAAAGGAGUUGCAAAGUAUUAUUUAUGUUGCACGGGGUAAUCCUUUAGGCUAAAAAACAUAGGACCCCCCCUCCCAUUUCUUUAUUUGUUAUUUACACUUAGUCAUUUAACAUAGAUCAAUGUAGUUAUAUCUCUAUAGUCAUUAAGAUUUGUGUCGAUUCUCACGUGCCCUAAUAAGACUCUUCGACUUCUAAAUUUUCCUUUAUUUAUUUGAUCACCUAGUCUAAUUACAUAAUUCACAUAGUUUAAAGUUCGGUCGGGACCCACAGUUGUGGACCUAGAAGAGUGCCUAAAACAUUCUCUUUGAGGUAAUUUGAGCCCUUACCCGAUCUUUAGUGGCGUUGACUAGUCAAACAGAGUUAUUUGCAAAUAGGUGCCCUAACGCACCUUAAACCGUUAGGUGGCGAAUCUUCUCUUUUAAUACCUAUUUAAAAGAGUUGCCACAUGUCGAAGCCCCCUUUCGCGAGAAAACGGGACGCGACGAUCAUCCUAUUUUACUCGUUAUUUGGAUAUGCCUCGUGAGUCCUUAGUUUCAUCUAUUUCCGUAUUUACGCCGGUGGGCGAUACUAUUAUUGUGGACCAUAUGUAUUGGUCGUGUGUGGUGACCAUUAGAUAGUUGGAGACUAGAGUUGAUCUUUUAUUACUUAGUUGGGUUGAUUUUGACGUGAUUAUGGGUAUGGAUUGGUUGUCCCCACGUCGUGCUAUUCUGGAUUGUCAUGCUAAGAUCGUGACGUUGGCGAUGCUGGGGUUACCGAGGAUCGAGUGGAGAGGUUCUCUGGAUUAUGUUCUCAGCAGGGUGAUUUCAUAUCUGAAGGCCCAAUGGAUGGUUGGGAAGGGGUAUUUGUCAUAUUUGGCCUUUGUGAGGGAUGUUCCUGCCGAUACUCCUACUAUUGAUUCUGUUCCGGUAGUGUGUGUCUUUCUGGAUGUGUUUCUUGCAGACCGGUCGGGCAUGCCACCCGACAAGGAUAUUGAUUUUGCUAUUGACUUGGUGUCGGCCACUCAACCCAUUUCUAUUCCUCCAUAUCGUAUGGCACCAACAGAGUUGAAGGAAUUGAAAGAGCAGCUUCAGGAGCUUCUUGACAAGAGGUUCAUUAGGGCUAGUGUGUCGCCUUGGGGUGCACUGGUUCUAUUUGUAAAGAAGAAGGAUGGUACUAUGCGGAUGUGCAUCGACUAUAGGUAGUUGAACAAAGUUACAAUUAAGAACAAGUAUCCUUUGCCACGCAUUGAUGAUUUAUUUGACCAGCUUUAGGGAGAGAGAGUGUUAUCUAAGAUUGAUUUGAGGUCUGGGUAUCAUCAGUUGAAGAUUCGGGACUCGGAUAUUCUAAAGACUGCAUUCAGGACCCGCUAUGGUCACUAUGAGUUCCUUAUGAUGUCUUUUGGGCUGACCAACACCCCAGCAACAUUCAUGCAUCUGAUGAACAGUGUAUUCCUGCCAUAUCUUGAUUCAUUUUGUCAUAGUAUUUAUUGAUGAUAUCCUGGUGUACUCAUCUAGCUAGGAGAAGUAUGCACAACAUUUGAGGAUUAUACUACAGAGGUUGAAGGAGGAGAAGCUUUAUGUCAAGUUCUCCAAGUGUGAGUUUUGGCUCAGUUCGGUGGCGCUCUUGGGGCACGUGGUGUCCAGUGAGGGGAUUAAGGUGGAUCCAAGGAAGAUAGAGGCGGUUCAGAGCUGGCCCAGACCAUCUACAACUACUGAGAUUCGGAGUUUUCUCGGCUUGGCCGAAUAUUACCGUUGCUUCAUGGAGGGUUUCUCGUCCAUUACAGUGCCUUUGACCGGGUUGACCCAGAAGGGUGCUCCAUGCAGGUGGUCGGACGAGUGUGAGGAGAUAUUUCAGAAGCUCAAGACUGCCUUGACCACAACUCCAGUUCUAGUUUUGCCUUCAGCAUUGUUGACGACCAAUUUAAACCCCCCCUUUUAAAAUUAAUUUACUCAUACUUAAUAAAUUACAAUAAAUAUUUUGAAAGUAUCUUCUAUUAGUAAAUACAUAUUUCUACAAAUUAAUUAAGUAUUAGCUUUAAAAUUAACCACUUAGUGUUAAGUAUUACAUAAUUACAAAUAUGCUUACUAUUUUAAGAUUAUUAAAAUAGCUUUUAUAUACAUCACAUAGUCCUUACGAUUAAUUUAAUGAAUUACUCCUUAAUUUCUAGUUAAUUAGACUACUAUGUUAAUAAUUUAAUGCUAAACAUGAAGUAUUUAUAAGCAAUUAAUCAAAAUAGUUAGUAAUGUACAUAACAAUUCUAAUUUUACUAUAUUUUAUUGAAAAUUAUUAAGCUUGUUUAAUUUAAUUAUAAAGAGGAUAAAAAGAGGCUAAAGGCUAUAAUUGCAAUUCUCAAUUAAAUACAAAUUGGCCAUUCUUUAAAUCAAAACUAGCCAAAGACCCAAGCCCAAUCCGGAAAUACCCAAUCCAAGUCCAUCCCUCUCUUUCCACUAUGGCAAUCCAUGCCAUCAUAUUUGAACCAAUCACAGCGUGCCAUGUCAUCGCUCUCAAACACAUACAAGAAACACACUACAUCCGGACCGUUGAUCCAAAUGAUCAACGGUUCACAAUUAAACUAAUUUUUCCAUCAGUGAUUUAUCUUUGUCAUUGGAUUAAAAGAGAUCCAACGGUCGCCUUUUUUUCAAUAAAUAUUUUUAUCUCCGAAAUAUCAGAACCUUGAUCACAAUGAUCCAACGGCUCCCGUUCCAUCUCCCGUUUUAAACUUGGAGACGACCUCUAACCCUAAUCAUUCUCUCCUAAGACCAGCCGCCCCCCUUUCCCAAAACUCUCUCUUUUCUCUCAUCCCUUUAAACCCCAUCAGUCAUGGAACCUUGCCCAAAUUACUGCAAGGUCAUAAAACCCUUCACCAAAUCGUCCUUUCUUGCUUCCUCAUCCGAUAAUCCUUCUGACCUUUCCCUUUAGCUCUUCAAAUCUGAAGCACCUGAUUUGAAGCACUUGCAGAAUCAUUCGCUUUGUCCCUAGGUUGUGAGGCCAGUGAUUCACUUUCCAUUUUCAUUGAUUAGAUUCAAAACCCCUCAAAUCUGAAACCCUAGCUUGAAGAUGUAACUCUAAAUCGCUUAAAUCUUCUCUCGCUCAGUCAAAUCGGAGCAUGCGUGGAGUUUUUAAGAGGAUUCAUUAUGAGAAUUCUUUACCCAGAGGUCAAACGCAGUGACCUCUGGGUUUUGAGUCUUGACCGAUGGUCUUCUGCCUUCAAAAAUCGAUCUCUCUCCCCUCAGGUAAAAAUUCUCAUUGUUUUCCUCUCCACUCUUCUCUGAUUUCACUUAGUUUGCUCAUACUAUCAGCUCAUCGUCAUAUUUCACUAUCUAAUUUGAAUUUUAUUGAACACUAGAGGCAUUGAAUUCCACUUUAAAAGGAGCCUUCAAUGCUCUCACGUAACAGACGAAAAAAAAGACCAGACUCAACACGAACACAAAAGGCAACAUUAUGAUUUCACAAAAGUUUAGUUUCUCUUACUGAUUUUUGGUUCCUCUCUUUGAUUCUGAGUGCUUUCAUUGCUCAAGCUUGAAGCUUUGGGUCCUAGGCAAUCAGAAAGAAUCUCUGUUCCGUCUUCUGCCCUAGAGAAGGUCAGUACAUCUCUAACUUUUCUCUUUUGAUUGUUUUAUUCAAGUAUCACGAACAUGCUGUUACCUUUUAUUAAUUAUGUUUGUUUAUGAUGUUUGUCAUUAGUGUAUAUAUGUUAUUUUCACUUCAUGAUAAUGUGUUGUUAACUUGUGGUCAUUUGUCAUACUUUUGAGUAUCUCUAAUUGGUAUUGAUUAAGUUGUUAUGGGACCUUAAUGACUUUUAUUCCGGUUUCAAUUAGUCUGUAUGAUUAUGUUUCCUUAAUAUGCCUUAAUGACUUCUCAUGUUUGCCCAAGACUUCAGAUUUUCUUUAAUGAUUAUGUUGUGAUCUAUUUCUCUACCACACUAUUCCCUACAUUUUGUUGUUUAGUAGUCGAUAUUGUUGAUUGAUAAUUCUAACUAGAACAAACCUGAAAGAUCACAGUUUAAUCCUUCACCAUUUAGCUGAAGCAUAUGAAGCUUAAAUGUUUAAAUGAUUUCCUUCUUUAUAUAAGUGUUUGCUGACUCUAAGAGUAGCUUAUGAGUCAUUGCUAUGAAAGUUUUAUGUCUGUAUCUAACUGUUAGUUGCAUCUCUAGGUCUCUAUAUAUGAAACAGUCUCAUUAAGGUGAUCUUUAUGAAUAUCAGUAACUCUUCUGCAUAUAUCCUAUUAUGAUCAAGUUAUCCUUUCAUAAAAAUAGGUUAUAGUCAUGUCUGUUAAACUUGAAUGAUAAUUGUUUUCAAGCUGAGCAUAACUAUCUCGUGUUUAGAUGUAAAUCUUAGUCUGUAUAGCUAAGUUAAACCUAUUUGGUGCAAUACUUUCCUUAUCUCUAAUCCCCUUUAUGAGAUUGCGGACUUGGUCUCAUAAUAGGUGAAACUCACCAUGUCUGUGUAAGAUCAUAACCUCAUUUUAAGUAUCUAUGUAUACCUGAUUAAAAUGUUGCAUGUAGUUUGUCUUCAUGAUCUCAUGUUCUUGUACUUUGUUUUGAAAUUUCACUCAGUCCUCUCUUUCCCUGCUAAUAUGAACUGAACCUGAUCUGUAAAUCCUAAGAGAACUUCUUAUUGCUACUGUUUGGACAUGAUAGAUUACCCAUUUCAAUAUAAGAUUAGUAUUCUUAUGAAGAUGUGGUUCUACCAUAAAUUACAAAUGAAGUAUGAUUGGUAAUCUGUGAUCCUGUCAAACACCUCUAGGAAUUCCAUGUGUGAGUUUGUGAACAUAUAGUCAUGCUAAGAGUUCUGAUUAUGUUUUGGUAUCUUUAAUAACACCCGUAGAGGCUGUUAACUAUGACUGUUUGUCUGAACCUUUAUUGAUGCUUUAUAGAGUUCCAAGUAGUAUUACAUGUGCUGGUGGCAAGACCUGGCUGUGGAUAGUCUGCUAGGACAAAAGCAUCUGUGUUUUCUAGGUUGCUAUGUAUUUGAAUGAUAUUUAUCUAUCCUCAAGAUGGGAUCUCAAGUGUUUGUCUCUUUAGCAGUAAUAUUAUAGUGUUCCUACCUCUAUAUGUGUUUGGAAUCUGGCCUUCAGACUUGUUUAAUAUGUGUUUUAUCCAUUUAGUAUUGGAAACGUAGUCAUAAAAUAAAACCGUUCCUAUGUCCUUAUGUUAUUCUGUCAAGGGAGAAGUAUACUUCUGUGGUAGGUUAUAUUAUGGUAGUUGGUUUACAUUGAAAGAGCCUCAUUGUCACUUAAACCUAUGGAUAAAAAUGAGUCGUUAGUGGUUAGGGGUAUUUAGGAUUAGAGUUUAACUCUAGGUUGGGUUGCUCCCCCCGGCACAAGCAUUGCCCCGGGCCUUGAGAACCUUGAGAACCUUGAAGUGUCAGGGGAUUCAAAGGGAGCAUCGACCUUGAGUGGAACCCUCUUCUUAGCCCUUAAUUCAUUGACACUUGUUAUUCUCUUUGGGUUUAGUGUUUAAUGACAACGAAAGGUUUUCAAUGUAAAUUAUCUACCAUAUACAACUGUCACAUUAGUAUAGGUUCUCAUAGUAUUUGAGUAUUGAUAGCUCGUUAUAUAUUUUGCUCCAAUCAUUUACUUAUGUGUUCCAUGCAUGGUUGACCAUACAAAAUAUGUAUCUAAUGACCUUCUCUUUCUUUUUUUGAAAUUCGAAGUCAGUUGUCGCAGUCCCUAUUACUGCUGGGCCUGCCUCUUUGAGGCCCAAAUACUAGAGUCCAAUCCUCUCAUUUAACUCCUUUAUUACUCAUUGCUUCAUUGCCAUAGUUUUACUGCCUUGUCGCAUUUUGCUGCGUUCUUGUAGUUAUUUUAUUUCACAUGUAUACAACAAUUAUAAAUUGGAUUGACUGCUUUACUUUAUAUCUUAAUUCAUAAAAAACUUAGGCAAGCCUUAAAUAACACAGGACUAAAAGAAGUAUUAGUUAGUAACUAAUCUCCCGUUCGCUAAUUAUAAGUUGUUUAUAUCAUUAAAUUACCAUUUUUUCACUAACUAUUUUUUUCUUAUAGGAUUUUGAAGCCCAAAAGCUUAGAAAGAGACGGCAGAUCCACUUUCAGAAAAGGGAAAAUUAGAUUUGAAACACAAGCUUUAUCUUCAAAAGGGAAAUCAAAUCAUUUAAAAAAAAGGUGUUGUCGCCCAAACGAUUUUCAAAUGGUUUUUCUUCAAGUCUAAAAUCAAGGUAUAUCUUAGGCUUACUCCCAUAGCACCUUCAUCUCAUUAGAACAAUAUACACCUCCAUGCUUUAGGAACAAGUGUUUAAAUUUAAUUCUCCUUUUCACAUACUUUCUUAGAUACAAACAUCCUAUAUAUCUUUCAAAAGCUCUUUUCAAGUAUAUAUGCACUAACAUUAUUCUCCUACAUAAAUUCAUACCAUUUCAAAUUACACUCUCCCUUUGUAAGAAUGAUGUUGUAAUAUACGGUAAGCCAUAUCUUUAGAACACUAGUUAAGGCAUAUUAUAAAUAAUAGAUUCCAAACCUAGUCUAAGUCCUAUGGAGCUACCUCAGGUAGAUUUUAAGGGGUGCCUAACACCUUUCCCUUAGAAGAACAAGAACCCUUACCCAUAAUCUUACCGGUUAGCAGACUAAUAAAGAAUAUGACUUAAUAAUUAAAUAGGUACUCUAGUAUAUCUUUAAAUAUUAGGUGGCAACUCUUUUUCAUCAACAAUAGAGAAAAUACAAGUCGAAUCUUGUUUUGACUAGUGCAAAAUAGGGUGCAACAACAUGGUGAAUCUGCUAGGGAGUUCACACUUAGGUUCUGACCUUAGCAGACUUAGACUAAAUUUGGCAUUUAGAUUUAUUUGUGCAUUGCCUUAAUUGUAGAUAAAAUUGCAAUUACAUGCUUACCUGCUUUGCUUGGUCUUUAUACUUAUUCCUAUACUUAUUGCUGCUACACUCUUAUCUUUUACUGCUUUAUAUAUAAUGUCAUCACAUGUCUUCCUAUCGAGUCUUGGUUGUACACUAUCACACACAAUGGCACGCGAGGGUUGUCUUUUACGCCCAUCUGAACCUUCUUUUCAAAACUCUCUAGUUUCAGAGAAUGGCUUUGUCGGGUCAACUGACAUAACUUCUCGCAGCCUUCAGUCCAAUUCAAAAGUAGGAAACACUCUACUCUAGCAAGCAUAGGUCAUACUGCAUAAACCUUAGGUGAGUCGGUCCUUGGCAUCGACACACGAUUAGGAAAGCCACCGUAAUGUCAACGGGUCAUGCACCUAACAACAUAACUUCUGUGGAAAGACAAACAAAACUGAAAAGACACUUAAAGAUCCGAAGCAAACACUUACCAAACACCUUUCUUUUACCCACCUCAGAAAAUGAAAAUCAACCAAAACAUCCCUAAGAUUAACAUGGUAAUGGGAGCGCCACAAAAGUUUGAAGAAAUGGCGGAAGAACAUUUACCGGGAACACGGAGAUGAGAUUCGGACGCACCUAGGGGCACUAACCGCUUUGCUAAAUAUCCGAGAAGACAGGGUGCUCACUUGCCUAUUGAUAGAGUUUUGGGAUCCGGCUAAGGUAGUAUUCAAGUUUGACGGCUGUGAAUUAGUACCGACAUUGGAGGAAGUCACCAGUUUCAUGGAGCUGCCAUUCAACGGAAGGAAGCCAAUACUACUAGUUACUAUGCCCAGUUACUGGUUUUUGGAUGCUUUAGGCCUAGCCAACAGUCAGAGUCUGAGAAAUAUCGAGGACGGAUUGGUGAGCCUCGGCCAGCUGUUCGACAGGUUUGGGCACCGUGAAAGUUAUGAGUGGUAUUCAGGAGAGUUUUAGUGUGACCAAGCAACGUGGGAGAGUCUCGGGCCUAUCACCUUCUCAAUGGCACUAUUUGGAUUACUGGUCUUCCCGCAGAGAAGAUAAACUCAGCUCGUUUGCGAUAGCUCUCAUGCGAACGCGAAGAACUCUAGCUCGACCUCCGCGAAUGCAACACCAUUUAUGUGAUCGGGUAGAACAAAAAUUCCACCAGUCCACUUAACCCUUCAUGAUCGCGGCCCUCUUUACACGAUCGUGGAAGAGGAAACCAGAUGCCUAGAAACCAGCAAUUCCACAAAGUCCAAUAUUAGUUCGAACUCAAUCUGAGACACACCCAAGGCCAUCGGGACCCCAUCCAAUAAUACCAACAAGUCCCAAAACAUAACACGAACUUAGUCGAAGACUCCAAUCACGCCAAACAACAUCAAAACUAUGAAUCGAUGAUCGAAACCUUUCUUUAAACAUCCAAACAUUCAUACUUUGACGAACGCGUCCGAUUCAUUCUUAAACAUUCUGGAAUGACGCCAAACUUUACGCACAAGUCACAAAUCACGAUACAAACCUAUUCCAAAGCUCAGAAACUCAAACGAGCAUAGAUAACACCAAAGUCCACUUCAAAUCAAACUUAAGAAAUUCUAAAACCUUCAAAAUGUUAACUUUCCAUAUUAAGCGUCGAAAUGCUUCCGGACCACCAGAUGCUCAACCCGAACAUACGCCCAAGUCCGAAAUCAUCAUACGAACCUAUUGGGAACCUUCAAAUUCCGAUUCUGAGAUCGUUUACUUAAAAUUCAAACCUUAGUCUAUUCUUCCAACCUAAAGUUCCGAAAUUGGAAUUGUCCUUCCGAAUCAACUCCGAACAUCCCAAAAUCUAAUUCCGACCACACGUACAAGUCGUAAUACAUGAAGUGAAGAUACUCAAGGCCUCAAACCGCCGAAUGAUGCGCUAGAGCUCAAAACGACCGGUCGGGUCAUUACAACAACAUCUACAUCACUCGGAAUCACUCCUACAAGGCGUAAAACACACAAUAAGUGCAAAACACUCCCAAUUAAAGCUCAAAACAAGUAAAGUGCAACGAAUUAUAGUGCAACAAGCGACUAAAAUACGGGAUUAUAGCCUAUCAUCAACACCACACACUUAAAUUGUUGCUCGUCCUUGAGCAAUCAAACUACACUUCACAUAGACACGACCUUUUUCAACAACUCUCAUAACUCAUCGCACCAAGAAAUUUAAAACAGACUAAGUACAAUACCGUACCAUCCUAGCCUCAAAAUUUGACUCAAAAGCACCACUUAUUAUUUAUAACCCGCUCACUUACUCUAACAUAGAGGUCAAGCAUUACCUUUCCUUCGUAAAUCAAGUGCCCUCACACUACAAUAGAGAGUAGUUCCACACACAAUAAAAGUUUAAGAACAAUUAGGAACUCAAGAUUUAAAGAAUUCACUCACUCUCAGAAACAAAAUUCAUAUGCCACAAAAGACGUACCAUANNNNNNNNNNNNNNNNNNNNNNNNNGGGUUAACUACGAUACAUAACAAUUAGGUGGGUAGAAGUAUAUAACUGACUCAACAAACAAAAUGCCUAUAUCACUUCCAAGACUGAAUACAACUACUAUUUCACUUUGUAAACACACAGAGAAAGUUCUAGACAUCAAAUACAAUGCACAGAAUAACACAAAACCUCACACACACAUGGCACAUAACUCACUAAAAAUUGUAUUAUCAAGACACGCUAGUCAAAGCAGUUAAGCAAAGUUAAGAUCAUACAAUUUAAGGUACUUAUGAAAGAGUCAAAAAUUGAGCCUAGGUGUCACAACUAAAGCACUCACUAUUCUCAAGGUAUAAUAGAGUCAAGAGAUAUUGCCUUCCAUUAAAAUCAUAGCACAAGAUUUCCUACUCCUAACAAAAAUAAAACUAACUACACCCGGUUCAAACAAAAUCCUUGGAAAAGAACCGCGACACAAAGAAAAACCAAGGGGGACUUGUUACACUACCUAACAAAAGAAAAUCUUUCUGUCUUUUUCUUUUGACUUUAAUCCCUCAAGAAACCCGUCGAAUGAUAUCCAUCGUAGGGAAAAAUAAAAAAAUUUAAAAAAAAUUCAAUUUUUAUGUUUUUUCCAAUUAUUUUCUAUCUCUAACUACUACAACUAAAAAAAGAAAACUAAUAUACAUAUAUAAAACUAUCACCCACCCCACACUUUAAGUUGUGGCAUGUCCCCAUGACACACAAUUAAAAAGUAUAAGGUAAAGAAAACUUCCCUAAACAUCUAGUUGGGGUAUGAAUCGAAGUCGGGCUCCAUUCCUCGUGCUCGAACCAAUGCACACAUCUAUGCCGAUAGCUUCUUCUCAGCCUUUUUGGGGUACACCCCACACUUAUCUUUCUUACUCAGUGCAACCUUCUCUUUUGAGCCUUUCACCUUCCAUUCAACACUUCCAGCUGGUCUUUCUUUGUGCACCACCUUUUUUACCUCCAUCUUAAACGUCACAGUCUCCUCACCCACUCUAAGCAUGAGUUUUCUCUCGUGUAUAUCCAAUAUAGCUCUACCCGUUUCUAAGAAUAGUCUUCCUAGGAUGAGGGGGACCUCCUUGUUCUCCUCCAUAUUCACCACUAUAAAAUCCACAGGAAAUACGAACAUAUCCACCCGAACUAACACAUCUUCCACUAUCCCCCCGGGUGUUAUAGUCGUUUGGUCUGCCAGCUGCAAAGAUAUUGGCACCGACCUUAUCUCUCCAAUCUUUUUCUCCAGUUUCCUGUAAAUAGAUAGAGGCAUUAAGUUAAUUGAGGCACCCAAAUCACAUAAAGACUUAUCAAACUUUAUAGUUCCUAAUGAGCAAGGUAUAGUAAAACUCUUUGGAUCUCCACACUUUUGUGGGAGUUUGUUUUGCAAUAUUGUGCUGUAAUGCUCUGUGAGCUUCACCACCGAGGUCUCCUCUAUUUUCCUCUUCUUCGUAAGGAACUCCUUCAAGAAUUUGGUAUAAAAAGGCAUUUGUGAGAGCACUUCUGUGAAUGGCAAAUUUACAUGAACCUGUUUCAGCACAUCCAGAAAUCUCCCAAACUGCAUGUUUAGCUUUUCUCUACUUUGCUUUUGAGGGAAGGGUAAAAUAGGCAUAUACUGGCUCUCCUCAAAUUCCUCCCUUCUUGAUUUUUCUUCCUUUUUCUUCUUCUCGGUUUUAAUAGGGCCUUUCUUAUUUUAAUCAACGUCAUUCUUCAGCUGCUCCCCACUUUCUCUUUCAAGUAUCACAUCAUUUUGGAUCGGAGUGGGAUCUUUCAACACUUGCCCACUUCUCAAAGUUACAACAUUCACUGUUUCUUUGGGAUUCUUUUCUGUAUCAGCGAGGAGAAUGCCUGGGACCCUCUCAGAUAAGAUUGUUGUAAUAUGUCCCACUUGCUUCUCUAAAUUUUGAGUUGCUGCCCCUUUUGUUUCAAAUCUUUCAUCAGUUUUCACAAUGAAGGCCUUCAUAAGAUCUUCUAAACCAGGCUGAUUGGGUUGUUGAUGCUGAAACUGCUGCCUCUACUGAUUUAUAAGACCAGGAGCUCCUUGUCCCUAGAAUUUGGGGUUGUUUUGUUGACACGCAUUUGCAGUACCCCCAGCUGAACUCCAUGAAAAUCUGGGGUGCUUCUGACCCAUUGCAUUAAAGUUGUAAUUUCCUACAUCAUUCACUUCCUCAGUUGAGGCUUGACACUCAUGAGUAGGGUGUCCUCUUCCACAUAUAUCACAAGCUGCGUGAGGCUCAUUUUGUAUCGAGGCUAAGGUUAGCUUCCAUAUUUCUUUANNNNNNNNNNNNNNNNNNNNNNNNNNNNNNNNNNNNNNNNNNNNNNNNNNNNNNNNNNNNNNNNNNNNCCACUAAUUUGCAUCUUCAGAUAACUCCUCAAGGAUUGUGACUAUCUCCUCUGGAGUCUUCUUCAUCAACGGGCCUCCAGCUGCAUUGCUCAAUGUUCUACGCGAGGCCCGUGUCAAUCCAUCCCAAAAGUCCUAGAGUUGCAUCCAGAGUUCAAUUCCACUAUGUUGACACUUUCGAACAAUUUCCGUAAACCUCUCCCAUGUGUCAAAAAUAAUUUCAGUAUCUUUCUUGCAGAAGUUAUGGAUUUCUCUUCUAAACUUGUCCGUCUUAGCUGGGGAGAAAUAUUUAUCAAGGAAUUUUCUGGUCAUCUCCUCCCAAGUUCUAAUUGAUCCUGUGGGCAAGCUUCUAAGCCACUGUUUUGCAUCAUCUUUAAGAGAAAAGGGGAAUGCCCUUAAAUACACUGCAUCAUGUGACACAUCAUUAUAUUGAAAGGUGUUCAUAAUCUCCUUGAAGUCCAUUAGAUGUGUGUUUGGAUCUUCGUUUGCCUUCCCUAUAAAGACACAACAAUUCUGAAGAGUUUGAAGCAACCCUUGCUUCAACUCGAAAGUAUUUGCUGCAAUUUGAGGUGGUCUAACACUUGAUAAACCUUGAUUGUAGACCGAUCUAGCAUAAUCUCCAAGUGGUCUCCCAGGCCUGAGAGCUAUAUUUAUGAACUGAUCUGCAGCCAAGGGUUAAUUUUGAGCAAUUCUUCGACCCCUAUCUUCUUCUUCGAUAAUAUUUGCAUCUCUAAUAGUUGCUUCCUCAUCAUCUCGUGCAGCUUGUUCUCGUCGUUGGGCUGCUUCUCUCGCAGCCAAAUCUACAUUAUCUUCACCAUUUCCAGCAAUUAGUUCCUUUGUUGAGGACUGCCCAACCUUUUCUGAUGUCUCGGUGAGAUUUCUUUCCUUCCUCACCUGUCGCAGUUAUUUUUCAAUUUCUGGCUCGUAUGGUAGCACUUCCUUCGCAGAAGUUCGAGUCAUGCACCAAUCUUAACCUGUAACCUGCGCACAGUCAAAGAACACCAACCGUAAAAAGAGAAAAAUAAAAUUAAAAAAAUCUUGAAUUAGCACUACAAACUAUUUCAAACACUAUUGAUUUCCAAUCCCCAGCAACGGCGCCAAAAUUUGACGAGCGCAAAACACAUACUUAAAUUCUGCUCUCUAAUCAAAUAUAAUAUAGUAUAAUAUCGUAUCCACGGGGAUUGGAUUUAAACAGUAUUCUCGUAGUUUCUAGCUUGAUUGCUAUCCAAGAAGAUCAACACUUGAGAUUUAUAUGAUUUCUAACUAAAAUUAACUAAGAGUCUAAAGUUAUUGACUAAAGACAAUCGAAACAAAGAUAAACAAGGAAGUUAUCAGUGGGAGAAAAUAGGGGUUGAUAGGAUAGGUGCAAGAUAAUUGGUUGGGAUCUAACUCUAGAUAAUUCACUUCUAAUGUUCAAGUGAGUCUCUCGAAUUCACUCAAUUAUCAGUUCAAACGUUCAACAAAAAACUCCUCUCUCGAUUAAGUUUCAACCUCACGAGAUUAACCAAUUUAAGCAUGUAAUGAUAUGCAAGAAUGCGUAGUGGAUUGGUCUUUAGGAAAUCCUCUUUCGAUUACUCUCCUAACAAGGUUUAAUCAAUAAUUCAACUGACCUCUUUCGAUAACUAAGAAGAAUUAAUGACCUCAACAAACAAUAUAAUGCUAAGAUAUCACAAGUUAUGCCUCUCUCGAUUACAUGAACAAGUGAAUAUAGAUGCAACAGUUAAAUCAUCCAAAAAUACUUCAAUACAUAAAACUAGAGUUAUAAUCCACAAACAAUCAUCAAAACACCAAAUCCAUCAAACCUUAAAGGGAACUACUCCAUUGAUAUGGAGAAAUUUAUCACAAAUAAAGUUAAUUAGAGGAAAACAUAUAUUCAAUCCAAACUUGGGUCUUUCGUGAGGAAGGAAUGAUGAAAUCCUUGUGCUCGUGUUCUUCCAACUCCUCCUUAGCCUCCUUAGGUCGCAUAUGUGUCAAAAGUCUCGAAAAUAACGUUUUCCAUGUAUUUAUACCAAGUAGGGUUGAGCCCAGACGAAAUCACCUUUUCCUAGCCGAAAUAGGAUAUUUACUUUGUAAAGGCGCGCCGCAUGGGGCGACGCUCCAUCUGACAGACAGCAGGAAUUUGUACAAGCGCGGCGCCCCACGCGCCGCGAUAGUGGGGAUUUCUCAGAGUACGGAUCAAACUUUGAUUUUUGAUGUCCAGACUUGGUCCUCGACCCCCGAACAUGAUCCCGGCUUAAUCCUUUGGGCUUUUAAUCAGACUUCAAAGCUUCAAAUAGCUCGAAUUAGCUUCACAACAUCUACAUCACUCGGAAUCGCUCCUACAAGGCGUAAAAUCCACAAUAAGUGCAAAACACUCCCAAUCAAAGCUCAAAACAAGUAAAGUGCAGUGAAUUAGAGUGCAAUAAGCGACUAAAAUACGGGAUUAUAUCUAACCAUCAACUAGCCUAGUUAAAGGGUUUGAACUAGAGAUAGAGAAAACUCGACUUGAGCUCAUAUCAACUAUUUAGGUUGAUACCCACUUGGGAUUGAGAAAGCCAAAUUGAAAAAAAUCACUCUUUGACCGAGAGGUAUUGUCACGACCAAAAAUCCAUUAAGAGUCGUGAUGGCGUCGGACACAACUGUCAGGCAAGCCAAAAAUAACUACUUAAUUUGGUUCUCAUUUUAAUAUUUCUGAAAUCAUAUUUUCUUCAAUUAAAUAGUAAAAGAUGGAAUUUAUAGAAUAAAUAAUUAUAUAUUUAACAAUUUCAAUACAGGACAACCCAUACUUACCGCAAAACCCGGUGUCACAAGUGCAUGAGUAUUAAAUAGGAAGUAAAAUAAAAUACAACAUCUGUCUGAAAUACAAAUUGGACAGUAAUAAUAUAAAUACUCUAAAGGAGACUCUGUUGGCUGCGGAUCGUGGUAUAGAGUGCAGCGCUCCUAAGUCCCCGCAAUAACCGUGUCUCUGCGCCCACAAGGCCACUAGACAGAUAUGUACUUGUACAAAAAUGUGCAGUAAGUGUAGCAUGAGUACGUAAAUCAACGCGUACCCAGUAAGUAUCCUGCCUAACCUCGAAGAAGUAGUGACGAGGGGUCAACUUUGACACUUACUAUGGGCUAUAAAUAAAAUAUCAAUAAUAUAAUUAAGCAUGGAUUACAUAGAAUGGUUGUAAGCUCAAUAUUCAUGAAAUAAGUAAACAAUUCUUUUGUUAAUAAGAAAUUUUCAAAUUUAUUUUCGUCAUUUAACAUUUUUGUAUAUCGGGCCAAUGAAAGCAAUAUCAAUUAUUAUCAAUUCCAGAGAUAUAUCAUGUGCAAAUUAUGUCGAAGUCGUACGGCCCGAUCUAACAUAAAUAUUUAAAUUGUGCACUGCCAAGGGUCGAACGACGCGAACUAUAGAUACAUCUAUCUGCUACCGAGGUGUUCGGCCCGCUCCACAAAAGAGAAAAUACAUUAAACAACCAAUUCAAGAUUUAUUAAGGGGCAAAUAUUCCAAGAAUUUCAAAUUCGCAUUUAACGGUCAAGUAAAUGAAGUUUAACCUUUUAACAAUCCCUUUAUUGAGUUUCUAAAUGUUUUAAACAAUUAAAUUAACAAGUAGGGCCCAGACAUCGCAAGUACAACAUGAUAUGGGUCCUAAACUACCCGGACAUAAGCAUAAUAGUAGCUACGCAUGGACUCUCGUCACCUCGUGCAUAUGUAGCCCCCACAAAUAGAAACACAGAAUGAUUUGAUUCAUCUAUGGGGUUAACUCCCUCUUACAAGAUUAGAAAGGAGACUUACCUCGCUCCGAAAUUCCAUAACCGGCUCCCAAGCCCGUCCAACAACUAAAACCGAUGCCCACCACUCCAAAACUAGUCAAUAAAUGUGCAAAUCCAUAAAUAUAUACUCUAAUACUCAUUAUAAAUUAAUUUACAAUAAUUUCGAAAAGUCGAUAAAAAUCACCCUCGGGCCCACGUGCCCGGAUUCCGAAAAUCUUCAAAGACAAACACUACCCAUAGCACUACGAACUCAAAUAUAUAAUUUAUUCCCAAUUCCAUGUCUAAUUUCGUGGUCAAAAUCCAAAAAUACCAAAUUUCUAGGUUUUUCUUCAAAAUCCCAAAUUUUCUACAAAUAUUGCAUGUUUACAUCCAUUUAUAAAUCAAGUAUUUAACUUGCAAUAGGUGCGAAUCACUUACCUUGUCAUAGAUGAUGAAAAUCUCCCCUUGAAGCUCUCCAAAAUUGCCCCAACCAAGUGAAACAUGGGAGAAAAAUGAGCCAAGUCUCGUUCUUAAAUCAAUCUGCCCAGCUGACCUUCCACACCUGCGGUACAUCAGCCGCAUCUGCGGCCUAGCAGGUGUGGCCAAAACCUCGCACCUGCGCAUAUCCUCUGCCCAGCACAGCUCCGCACCUGCGAUGCCAAACGCGCCCCUGCGGUCUCGCACAUGCGGAGACUUUCCGCUUCUGCGACUCCAGCUGCCAGCUCACAUUUCGCUUAUGCGGAGCUUUCCUCGCAUCUGCGGGCUCGCAUAUGCGGAAACAUCCUUGCAUCUGCGGCUAUCCCAGCUCCGUCCAAAUGUCGCUUUUGCAACCUCAUCGCCGCACCUACGGGCUCGCACCUGCGGCCCUUUUCACACAGGUGCGAUUCCACCAGAUAUCAGCUGCCUCAACAUUUCUUCUAAGUCUAAACUCGAUCCGUUAACCAUUCGGAAUCCACAUGAGGCCCUCAGGACCUCAACCAAAUAUACCAACACGUCCCAAAUCACAUUACGAACUAAGUCGCGCCUUCGGAUCACAUCAAACAACGCUAAAACCAUGAAUAGCACUCCAAUUCAAGCUUAAUGAACUUUAGAACUUCAAACUUCUACCUUCGAUGCCGAAACCUAUCAAAUCACGUCCGAUUGACCUCAAAUUUUGCACACAAAUCAUAUUUGACAUUACAGACCUACUCCAACUUCCGAAAUCAGAAUCCGACCCCGAUACCAAAAAGUCCACUCCCGGUCAAACUUCUCAAAAAUCUUCAAAUUCCAACUUUUGCCAAAUGACCUCAAAAUGGCCUACAGACCUCCAAAUCUAUAUCCUGACGCGUUCCUAAUUCUAGAAUCACCAUACGGAACUAUUCCCAGGCUCGGAAUUUCAAACAGAAGUCGAUAACAUUGAAAUACACUUCAACCCAAAUUUAUGAAAUCCUUCAAAAAUGCCAACUUCCAUAAUAUGCGCCGAAAUACUCCCGGGUCAACCAAAACCCGAUCCGGACAUACGCCCAAGUCCAAAAUCAUCAUACAAACCUGUUGGAACCUUCCAAUCUUGAUUCCGAGGUCGUUUACUAAAAAUAACCCUUAGUCAAUUCCUCCAACCUAAAGCUUCUUAAUUUAGAAUUUUCUCUCCAAAUCAACUCCGAACUCCCCGAAAUUCAAUUCCGACCACACGCACAAGUCAUAAUACCUGAAGUGAAACUACUCAAGGCCUCAAACCGCCGAACGACGCGUUAGAGCUCAAAAUGACCGGUCGGGUCGUUACAUACUCUCCCACUUAAACAUAUGUUCGUCCUCGAACGUGCUAAGAUCUGCACUGGAGUUGUCCGAAAUCAUUGUUUAAUACCUCGUGCACCUGUCGUGCUACCACAACCCAGUUGAGCACAUUAGCUCGAGCAAACCUGAAAAUCCUCCCUUUUAUUUAGUCAAGUAAGCCUUAGAGCCAAAUUCCAACAUCUGAAAUCCUCUACCAGGUCUGUUUCCAACAUACGAACACCAUAUACAUCACUACACGAUGCACCAAUACAUGAUUGCAUACCUUUACUGAAUUCAUACCAUGCACCGUUUAACUCACACGACCAUAAUAACAUCCUCUGACAAUGAUAGUCGAAAUCCCAUGAAUCUGAUGCCCACCGCACCUCAUGAAGCAUAUAAGUCCCGUUUCAACUCUCGCAAUACUACCACAACAAAAAGGAUGUGUAGAAAUUCAUAACCAACUUCCGAGUCGACAAAUCAUUGAGUCCCUCCUCUGGACAAGGACCAUUACCCCAUUGUGAACCAAAUAACAAUAUUUGCUUUUUAAUAUGCCUCAUAUAAUCCGAUCGCACUGAUCCCAGGUCCAAUAAUCUUGUCUCACCCAGUACAAGCUGCUUAGGCAAUAAGCCACCUCAGACACUGCAAAAAGUAUCAUAUGAUGCCACAAUGUGCCAACAAGCUACAAACUCGAAGUGAUACAUAAUGGAAAACGAACUCUGGAAAGAACUACUCAACCAACGUAACUAAUCAAACAAUCGAAAGGAUGUUAUGAACCUUCCUCAGAAACGAGAAACAAAACACACAAGAAUAGAUAUGGGAAACUAUACUCAAUAUCAUACUGUUGCGGCGUGCAACCCGAUCCACACAUGAUACCGUUGCGGCGUGCAACCCGAUCCAACUAUGAUACCCGUGGUGGCGUGCCACCCGAUCCAAACAACAUAUCCGUGGCAGCGUGCCACCCGAUCCACACAUAAUAAUCUAAAGAAGACACACAUCGAGUCGUAACGCUUAUACUCACGAAAUGCCUGAAUCUCAACCAUAAGCACACCAAGUGCAUAAUACAAAUCCUAAGGAGACGAAUAGCACCAUACGCUAUGAAACUCAAGCACAACUAAGGUGCAACAAAUGACAUGUAUCUUGAGAGCCUUCCUGCUCUCACAACACCACAAAUUUCCCGGGAUCUCAAUACGAGUGCGAAUAAUCAAACCACCUCACAACCCACCUGGCAUAAUAUAGAUUACACGAAAUAGCUGACGAUAGACAUAACAUCCAAGGCCCGAAGACCCCUCUAAAAUAACGCUAUGCUGAAAUGAACACAUCCGGCCUGAUAUAGGGCCCACAUUCAUAUUUAGAUCCAUCCACGGACCUCAAACCGAUUCUGAUCAUACCAUGCUUGGCUAAAUAGCCCCUCAAGGGCCCACAAUGACCUAUUCAUGACACAUAAGAACAACCGUCAAAUCUGAAAAAAACUCACAUGGUCCACAACCCAAGGAAUAGAAUGCCUCUCAGGCAUAAACUCUCACACUUGCGAUAUUACCAUGACCUCCAUAUUCGGUCUCAAUCUUUAACAAUCGAGUGACUGACAUGUCACACUUAUAAAAAUCUCCCUGUGGGGCAUGCUCCCACGACCAUUCCGCUUAGGUAGCAAGUCUGCACCUCCAUACUGCCGGCCACAAUAAUGCUGUAAAGAAAAUCAAGAAGCCACAAAUCAGUAAACAAAGCCUCUUACACAGGACACCGAUCUCAGGUGACGCUAAAGACAAUACCAGCUUACUCUAAACAUUUGAAUUCUUCCCCGCUCAUCCGAACUCUUGACAUUCUUGUCGACGUCGACUGCAACCUUGAUCCUCAACUUCCAAUUCCCAUGCCGCUCAGUACACCUAACAUACCAAUACGUGAGAGUACAAGAAUUACAUCAUAACUCCUGAUCCACUAAUAGAAUAAACACUCCAUCACAUAGCAAGCUUUUACUUAACUCAUUUUAGGAGAACCAUUGCAACAUGCGACUGAAUUCACAUAACAACAGAAAAUACAAUCCUCAAGUAGUGGUCUAAACCACCAUAACUCUUCCGGGAUCCAUCUACACAUAACAAGCCAAAAUACUCAAAUUCCUCCAAAUAAAAUCAAUUAUGGCGGCCGUCAAGCCUCGCACGCACCGCCACAAAUCACAUGUAUAACUUAACACACUGAAGGAACUGAUCAUUGCUAACAUUAUGCCAAUUCAACUGUUGUUAACCGAUCCGAUUUCUUCUAAUUUACUCUGGUCUUGCCUUAGGAAUAAUAAUAGCUCCAUUCAAAAUGUCAUGAACCACAAUCCGCACUCAUCCUGAGUGACCUUAUUUUAUGCGAUCAUGUUGUCUCCAAAACCCACGAACCAUCUCAUACCCCCCUUAUGCGCAUAUUCGCAUCUUCAACUGGUACAUCCAUUCUGAAAGUCUCUCUAUGAAUCUGAAGUUAUUUUCUCCCAUUCCUCCAAUGCCACACCGCAGACCGAAGAUAACGUAGAACACUCCAAGCCACUUUAAUAAUCCACUGCAAAAACCUCGAUACUUAACCAUACUACGGACUCAAAAUCCUGAGGCACUGCACUUUAACUUUUGAAUCCACUAGGACUGUUGUUGAGAGUCACCCACUCUGGCUUGGUCCCGAAUAUAACCAACUCCAAGGCUCUGCUAGCACAUCUACACCCUCUCAAAGAAGCAAUCGACUAAAUUCUUUCUCCUUAUACAUCACAUCCCCCACGAAGCAUAAACUCUAAGUCUUCCCAAAACCUGAACAUGAAUCGAUAUGGCCAAUUACAACACACAUUCCACAAAUCCUUUGCUCAAAUUACCACUGAUGUUCUCUUUCCUUAGUCAUGAUAACCCGCCAAUACACUGAUAACCAGAAACCGCACAAGUUGACAACUACGCAAUCUAAUCAUAGACGGUGGGGCUCGCCUACUUAGCUUGAAGCUACCAUUGCAUAACUCUGGAACCCACCAAGAUUCCUUAUCCCCUAUUGUCAUGAUCUUGCACAACCAACCUGCCAAAUUUCUCGAAAUCCUUAUGUUAAACAUUUCAUGAACAUUCUGAAUCACUAGCCACAUUCAAAUAUUUGACCUCUUACUGGAUAGCCAGUAAAAUUCUUCAUAGAAGCUUCAUCAACACCAAACGACCGCUAACCUACUCAUAGGAGAUAACCCACAUGUGAAAAUUACAUGCCGACAUCUUCCAACAGCACUGCACCGAGUACAAUUACUAUGAAAUCAAUAAACCACCCUGAGCCCGUGCUUAUUCACCAGUUGUACAAGUCCGUUCACUCCCAAUUGACAUCAACUAAAGGUGCGAUGAUACAUCCCAAUCCAAAGUCAUGUUGCAUCCCUCUUUGUAUUAAGCAACCCCCUCCUGUCGCACCCAAUCUUCCUCGAUAUAGCAGCCAAUAUACCAAAUUAAGCACGUAGACCUAGUCACUGUCCACCAUGAAUACCAAAUCACUCUAACUUCCCCCAAGGCGUGUAGCUAUCCCACCACAGAACCCGUAUGUUGCUCUACCACUCUCCCACUUUGGUCAAAUCCUCUCUUUUAAGAAACUGCUCGACUUCUAUUUCCUUACACUUGGCCUUCUAAAAGUUUAACCACCGUAAGACACCUCCCAUAUGUACUUCCUCACCCUUCACUGCCCAAUUAUUUCCUUAACUCAAAACUUAUCUCUGUAGCACCCGAACCAAUAGAUCGCCGCCAACUCUAAACCUCCCCGAAGAUCAUCCUCCUUGAGCCACUAACUUUAGGAUUACCGAUUCGAUUCUGAACCACAGCACAUUGCGACAUUUGACAACCGCUUCCCGGGCACCAUACACACUACUCUGCCCCAAAGGCAAUUUGAAAAAGGCCAUAACACCGGCGAACCUAACACUUUCAACAAGAACGAUGACACCACAUCACAGAUGAAAAUCCCACCACGCUCAAAAAUACCAAGUUUCGUUACUCCAUCAAUCCAAACCUGAACAUUCUUAGUCCGAUUGCCUUUCCUCCAUUGGAAAUAAAACACUAAACCCUUGAAUCAUGCAUUGAGAAAAACCUCAUUUCAAAUCAUUCACUGCCCCUACACAUAGACAAGUAUCCUACUAUUACUCAAACACUAUGCGAUAGCAAUGCACGAAUCGUCAUAACAAUCAAUGCCAAAUCUCAAAACCUUAGGUAAUACUGAUACUGAGCUGCAACGACAGAACGGCUUUCCGCAAGGCGACGACAAUAGCCCAAUCAAAUAUGCAUGGAGAAACCUCCUGCACCACAUCUGUAGUACCAUUAAAAUUCCUCGAUUCCCAAUUUAUAACAAGCGCUUCACGUCACAUAAGAUUGAAUAGGAAGUAAAUGAAGUCAUAAGCCUCAAAGGAAUCAAAUCGCACGAUGAGGAAUCAAGAUGGAAGUGCUUCUAACAGAUUCGCGAGACUCUACUAGACCCGCUCAUGACUCGUGAGACCUAAGUGAACCUAGUGCUCUGAUACCAUAUCAUCACGACCCAAAAUCCAUUAAGGGUCGUGAUGGCGUCGGACACUGCUGUCAGGCAAGCCAAAAAUAACUACUUAAUUUGGUAAUCAUUUUAAUAUUUCUGAAAUCAUAUUUCCUUCAAUUAAAUAGUAAAAGAUGGAAUUUACAGAAUAAAUAAUAAUAUUUUUAACAAUUUCAAUACAGGACAACCUAUACUCACCCCAAAAUCCGGUGUCACAAGCGCAUGAGCAUCAACUAGGAAGUAAAAUAAAAUACAGCAUCUGUCCGGAAUACAAAUUGGACAGGAAUAAUAUAAAUACUCUGAAGGAGACUCUGUUGGCUGCGGAUCGUGGUAUAGAGUGCAGCUCUCCUAAAUCCCUGCAAUAACCGUGUCUGUGCGCCCACAAGGCCACUAGACUGAUAUGUACCUGCACAAAAAUGUGCAGCAAGUGUAGCAUGAGUACGUAAAUCAACACGUACCUAGUAAGUAUCCCGCCUAACCUCGAAGAAUUAGUGACGAGGGGUCGACUUCGACACUUACUAUGGGCAAAAAAUAAAGUAUCAAUGAUAUAAUUAAGCAUGAAUUACGUAGAACGGCUGUAAGCUCAAUAUUCAUGAAAUAAGUAAACAAUUCUUUUGUUAAUAAGAAAUUUCAAAAUUUAUUUUCGUCAUUUAACAUUUUUGUAUCUCGGGCCAAUAAAAGCAAUAUCAAUUAUUAUCAACUCUAGAGAUAUAUUAUGCGCAAAUCAUGCUGAGGUCGUACGGCCCGAUCUAACAUAAAUAUUUAAAUUGUGCACUGCCGAGGGUCGAACGGCGUAAAUCAUAGAUGCAUCUAUCUGCUACCGAGGCGUUCGGCCCGCUCCACAAAAUAGAAAACACAUUAAACAACCAAUUCAAGAGUUAUUAAGGGGCAAAUAUUUCAAGAAUUUCAAAUUCUCAUUUAACGGUCAAGUAGAUGAAGUUUAACCUUUUUAUAAUCCCCUUAUCGAAUUUCUAAAUGUUUUAAACAAUUCAAUUAACAAGUAGGGCGCACACAUCGCAAGUACAACAUGAUAUGGGUCCUAGACUACCCGGACAUAAGUAUAAUAGUAGCUACGCAUGGACUCUCAUCACCUCGGCAUACGUAGCGACCACAAAUAGAAACACAUAAUGAUUUGAUUCACCUUUGGGGUUAAUUCCCUCUUACAAGGUUAGAAAGGAGACUUACCUCGCUCCGAAAUUUCAUAACCGGCUCCCAAGCCCUUCCAACAACUCAAAACGAUGCCCAUCGCUCCAAAACUAGUCAAUAAAGGUGCAAAUCCAUAAAUAUAUACUCUAAUACUCAUUAUAAAUCAAUUUACAACAAUUUCCAACUCCGCUCGAAAAGUCGAUAAAAGUCACCCUCAGGCCCACGCAUCCGGAUUUCGAAAAUUUUUAAAGACAAACACUACGCAUAGCACUACGAACUCAUAUAUAUAAUUUAUUCCCAAUUCCAUGUCCCAUUUCAUGGUCAAAAUCCAAAAAUACCAAAUUUCUAGGUUUUUCUUCAAAAUCCCAAAUUUUUUACAAAUUUCCAUGUUUGUAUCCAUAUAUAAAUCAAGUAUUUAACUUACAAUAGGUGUGAAUCACUUACCUUGUCAUAGAUGAUGAAAAUCUCCCCUUGAAACUCUCCAAAAUCGCCCCUAACAAGUGAAAAAUGGGAGAAAAAUGAACCAAAGUCCUGUUCUUAAAUCAAUCUGCCCAGCUGACCUUCCGCACCUGCGGUACAUCAGCCGCAUCUGUGGCCAAAACCUCGCACCUGCGCAUAUCUUCUUCCCAGCACAGCUCCGCACCUGCGAUGUCAAACGCGCCCCUGCGGUCUCGCACAUGCGGAGACUUUCCGCUUUUGCGACUCCAGCUGCCAGCUCGCAUUCCUCUUCUGCGGAGCUUUCCUCGCAUCUGCGGGCUUGCAGAUGCGGAAACAUUCUCGCAUCUGUGGCCAUCCCAGCUCCAUCCAAAUAUCGCUUCUGCGACCACAUCGUCGUACAUGCGGGCUCGCACCUGCGGCCCUUUUCUCGCAGGUGCGAUUGCACCAGAUAUCGGCUGCCUCAGCAUUUCUUCCAAGUCUAAACUCGAUUCGUUAACCAUCCGAAAUCUACCCGAAACCCUCGGGACCUCAACCAAAUAUACCAACACAUCCCAAAACAUAUUAUGAACUUAGUUGAGCCUUCGAAUCACAUCAAACAACGCUAAAAUCAUGAAUCGCACCCCAAUUCAAGCUUAAUGAAAUUUAGAACUUCAAACUUUUACCUUCGAUGUUGAAACCUAUCAAAUCACGUCCGAUUGACCUCACAUUUUGCACACAAGUCACAUUUGACAUUACAUACCUACUCUAACUUCCGGAAUCGAAAUUCGAAGCCAAUACCAAAAAGUCCACUCCCGGUCAAAUUUCUCAAAAACCUUUAAAUUCCAACUUUCGCCAAAUGACCUUUAAAUGGCCUACGGACCUCCAAAUCUACAUCCGGACGCGCUCCCAAUACCAGAAUCACCAUACGGAGUUAUUCCCAGGCUUAGAAUUUUAAAUGGACAUCGAUAACAUUGAAAUACACUUUAACCCAAAUUUAUAAAAUCUUUCAAAAAUGCCAACUUCCAUAAUAGGCACCGAAAUACUCCCAGGUCAAUCAAAACCCGGUCCGGACAUAAGCUAAAGUCCAAAAUCAUCAUACAACCCUGUUGGAACCUUCAAAUCCCGAUUCUGAGGUCGUUUACUAAAAGUCAACCCUUAGUCAAUUCCUCCAACUUAAAGCUUCUAAAUUUAGAAUUUUCUCUCCAAAUCAAUUCCGAACUCCUCGAAAUUCAAUUCCGACCACACGCACAAGUCAUCAUACCUUACAUGAAACUACUCAAGUUCUCAAACCGUCGAACGACGCGCUAAAGCUCAAAAUGACCGGUCGGAUCGUUACAGGUAUUGAUUGGAUAACUUAGAAUUGAGAGCUAUAAUACACCCCAAUCAAUAAAAUAAGUGUUAACGUAAUUAACCUAUUAGGCGAACACCUAGGCAAAGGUUACAUCCCUAAGCUUUUUACCUAUUUGAAAAUAGCUAAAAAUAAUUAGUCAAUUUCUAGCUUCAUUUCUCUAGUUGAUUAUUGAUAGUUUAGUUUAUAGAAGUAAUUUGUAAAACCAACUUGAUUGGAAGUGUAUUUAAGCCGUUUUAUCUUCACGCGUCAAGUAUACACCCUAACACCCAUUGUUAGCUCCCUGAGAAAAUCGACCUUGACCCAUAGUUGGGUACUAUUCUUCCAAUAACCUCUUCCACUCAUUGUUGAGUGUGGAUUGGGAGUGGAUCAAUAAUCAAUUUUCUUUAUCCAAAAUAGUAAUAAUUGGCUCUUCCAGAGCUCUCAAUUAAUUUUGUACUGCCACAUAUUCACCAACAUCCAUAUGGUGAAUAUCUCUUUCAAGGAGAAAUUUAUACCAUUAUGGUCAUGGUCAAAAUUAUUAUAGGCAAGAUAUGUUGCUUCAAUAACUUUUCCCCUAUAAUAAUCACAUUGCCAUAACAUUUUAGCAUAAUCACAAUAGGUACAUGAUCAAUGAUAUUCAUGCCAUAAUCAUGAAAUUAUUUUCUUAUUUCAUCUCAAACCUCCUUCUAGAGGUGAGUGUGGUAUAUUCACAACCUCUAGCAUGUUCAUAUUCUUCCAAGAAUAAAUAUGUAUUCAUAAAUCAUAUGUUGUCACAUUCACAUCAUGAAUGGACUAUAAUCAUCUAUAUGUGUUUUACAAAAUCUCAUGUCAAAUCUAUGACAAACAUUAAUUUCACAUAGUGAAGGAUUAUUUUGAGAAUCCUUAUUGUUCUCAUUACCACAAUGAGGACGAUUAUAAUUUCGUCUAUUGCCACGUCCCCAUCCAUUGAUGCCUUCACAGUAAUAAUUUUAUCUUCUUUCAGACUUAUCACAUACUGCAACCACAUUCUCUUAAGGGAACGAGAAUAAAGCAUAUUUAAUGGGACGAGUUUUCACUUCUUGUGCUCAUAAUCAUACGUGAAUUUGAUCAUGGCAAGACAUAGAAAUUUUACCAUUUCGGGUGAUUAUAAUUUCUCACAAACUCUAUUAGAGUAAUGAUAAAAUUUUAUUAUCUUUGUUUGUAUUUAAAAUCAAAUUAUAGAAUUUCAAUAAUGUAAAAGAGAAAAAUAAAGUAAAAUACUUACCUUAAGUCCAGAAUUUUUCUUGCAGGAAGUUCAUGGAACAACUGACAAUCUUUAUGCUCAAUAUUAUGUAUGAGCUGAGUACCAUGCACGUAUCCCAAAGUCAGGUGACCGAAGCAGAUGCUUAGUAUAGGAAUAUUAAUGUAUUCACCCCAAGAGCCUCACGCAAAUUCCUAUAUCUUCUCUCCCCGGGUGGUUUAAUUUCUCAAACACUAGACAACUAAUUAAUAGUAUAUCUAUAAAUCAAAACUACUGCCCUCUACUCAAUUGGUUAGAGUCUCGUGUUGAUAACGCGUUAUAAAAUAAUAAAAGAAGAAGAGUAUUAUAGAGAAAAGUAGAGAGAGAAUUCUUGUUGAUUGUGAUAAACUUCAAUGAAAUAGAACCUCUUUAUUUAUAGGGAAAAUGUGACUUGGCCACAAAGUAACAAACCCUAAAAUCUCUCUAAAAUAUAGACAUUUACCUUAAAUACAAUUCUAUUUAUAACAAUCCUUUAAGUCUUACUCUGCUUCUAUGCUUGCAUUUUCAUUCUUUGUGCUUUAUUUUUUUCAAUUUUUUUUUUUUUGCAUUCUUUAAUUUAUUCUUUUCGAGUUAGUUUUUGAUUUUAGAAUUUCUUUCGUUGUAGUUUAGAUACUGUUUUGAAAUGCUUGUCUCUAUUCUGGCUAUUUAUAUUACUAGUAUCAUGAUACGCGCGUUGUGCGUGAACACUAUCUCGAUGAGUAUGAACUAUUAAAAAUUAUAAAUUAUUAUAAUAAAAAUUAUAUUUGAGUGCUAAAAUAAAAGCUAAAGAAAAAAAUAUGAGUUUUUGAAAAUAGUAUUUGUUGAUCCUAUCUCGUUAACACAAUAAACAUAGAAUUUAUACCCCAUAUAAGCCCUCAAUCAUAUCAAUUAAUAUAUUCAACUUAAAAAUUAUUGAAAAUUUUAUAAUAUCGAUACUGCAAUUUCACAAGUUAUGAUUCUUCAUUUUUUAUUUUAGCAAGAACGCAUUAACCCUUGAAAAUUUAAGAGUUAUUUUAUUCCGUUAAUUUUUUUGGAAAGCAAUAUAUUCUUAAGUUCAUCAUAAAAAGAUACAAACAAAGUCAAGUAACUGACAAAAGAUGUCCUUUUUUUCUCGAUGAGAAAAUACAAAUUGUGCUAUUACUUUAAUCCAUAAGAAAAAAUAUAGUAAAUAUUUCAACAAAUUAGUAAGGAACUAAUCGUCUAUGAUUGUAAUAGAAUUACAUAUAAUUCACGGAUUCUAAAAAGACGAUGUUAAUACUAUCCUAGAAGCAUUAAAUUAAAAUAUAAACUUUAUGUUAAAAUCAAAAUUAGAUUUAGUUCUACAUGUUAGACAAAAUCUUAAUGCUUGAAGAAAAAAUUAUUUUUUCCAAAGGAAUAAAAGUUGAUGUGCACAUCAAUUUUGACUCUGUGGCAAUGAACUCUAUAUAACUCACUUUAUAAAAUUUUAGGGUGUUAGGUAUCUUAAAUAAUUAUAUUUUUAUUAUCUUUAUUUUCUCGAACAUCAACAACUAUUUUAAUUCUUUGACAAAAUUUGUUUUUCAAAUUCAACACAUGACAAAUAACCAAAAUGUUAUUUUCAAAAUAAUUCUUCCAACCAACACUAACAAUAUUUUUUCAAAGCCAAAAUCUUCAUUGUUUUUAUAAAUAGAAUAUUUGGCUUUAUUCUUUAUACUUUCAAGCUUCAUAAUCUAUUAAAGACAUUUUGGUUUGUUUGUAUCUAGAGGAAGAAAAGUACUCAUAGUUGCAACAUUAAGUAUGUCCAUCAAACGUUCUUUUUUGGAAUUAUUAGGAUUAUUAUUCUAUAUGGAAGAAGCAUACUUAUAAUUACGUGGUAGUAAUUAUUUUAUUCAAUUCAAAUAAGGAGAGAUUUAUAAAAGCUUGCAUGAAUUUAAAUUCUUGAAUAUUAGAACUUCUUAGAUAGAACAAAUAAGCAAAUAUUUAAUAACCAUAAUUUUAGUUGAGUUCAAAGUCCUAAAUAUUAGAAAAAUAAAAGUCCUAACUAUUAGAAAAAUAACUGAAUUACUAUUUUGUUUGGUGUAAAAUCUAACUUUAAAGAGUGAAAAAGAGAACGAUGUUUUACUAAGGUGAUUCAUACUUUUAAUAUAGUAUAGAUAUAGAUAAUGAGUAUUUGUAAUUUAUUAUCUAGUUAGGUUUUUAAAUAAUAACUUUAUAUUACGUCCUUUUAAAUGUUUGAAUUACUAGGAACUAGAAUAUCUUUUUACAACUCUAAGUAUGUUCCAUCAUAGUCAUGUUAUAGGUGUAAUCUACCUUUAUGUCUUUUGCUUUUUCAAGUAAAAAUAUAUGCUUAGACCACGAAUCUUACCUUCUGAACAAGAAACAUAUCAACUAGCACGUAGCACAAACAAACCAAAAGAUCCCACCAUAUCCAACCACCCACCCUCCAAACCUACAUACCUCCAUAAAUUAAAUCUGUCGUCACCAACUACCCACUUAGACUACGAAUCUUACCUCUCACCUCUCUCACCCUUAAUGACAAAAACAACCAUGUCAAUCACCCACAAUUUAUCCCAAUUAUUAGGCAUGAAAAAAUCAGACUAUACAGUCCAUGGACCCAAUCUGUUAUUGUCAAACUACUUGGACCAAAGGUGUCCUACAACUUCCUAAAAAAUAAAUAUCACAACCCAAAACCUAACCUGUCGUGAUGGUGCCUAUCUCAAUACUAGGCAAGUCGACAAUCUCACUAAACCACAUAUCUUUUAAAUUUGAAAACAUAAUGAUUAAAUUUAGUGGAAAAAAUCUCACGAGUACAAAUAUAAAUACUCCCAAAACCUGAUGUCACUGAGUACAUAAACAUCUAAUAUGAAUACAAGUCUGAAAAAUACGGUUUAUAAUAGUCUGAGACCAAAUACAAUGAACAAGGAGAUAGAGAAGGAGAGGCAAUGUUGGCAAAAUAUGGCAGCUACCUCUGAAUCUCCAAAAAAUCAACUGUACAAAGGAAUCAAUACCCGCUAUGUCCGAAAAUACCUGGAUCUGCACACAAAGUGCAGGGUGUAGUAUAAGUACAACCAACUCAGCAAGUAACAAUAAUAAAUAAGGAACUGAAGAUAGUGACGAGCUACACAGUUAUAGAUCAUUUUAAGUAAUUCCAGCAAAGAAUAGACACGCUUUCAAAUCCGGCAGUUUAAGUCAAAUCAGUUUUAUACAGUUCAAGUUCAGGUAAUUCGGAUAUAAAAUCUUUCAGAAAUUUCACAACAAUGACAGAUAGCAACUAAGUGCAACAACAAAUAAAAAGCAAGUACAGCCUCUCAGGGCAACAGUCACUCAACUCAUCACAACACCUCAAUCACUCGGCUCUCAGUCCUCAGUACUCACACUCAAUAGGUACCUGCGCUCACUGGGGGUGUACAGACUCCGGAGGGGCUCCUACAGUCCAAACGCUAUAAUCUGCACUGACAACUCAUGUGCUAUAAUAUCAAUAUCCGAAUUCGCACGGACAACUCACGUGCUAUAAUAUUAAUAUCUUGAUCUGCACGGACAAUUCACGUGUUGCACAGACAACUCACGUGCUAUAGUAUAAUAUAAGAAUUCGCACGGACAACUCACGUGCUGCACGGAUAACUCACGUGCUAUAGUAUAAUAUCUCACAAUCAGGCCCUCGGCCUCACUCAAUUAUAAAUCUCUCCAGUCUCUCAAUCUCUCAAUAGUCAUGAUAAUUAUCCCAAACAACAAUAAUAUGAUGCAUCAAUAAUGAACAAUAGAGACUGGGAUAAAAUAAAUAAGUAAAUUGCGACUGAGUACAAAAUAACAAUUUAGCAGAUAAUUCAACAUGUACACGACCUCUGUCGUCUUUACAGCACCAACACAUAGCCUAACCAUGAUUCACUGUCAAAUUUUUAUAGCACAGAAAGGGCACAUAGCUAACAACAACCUUAUUCACUUUCUAGUUUCACAGAAUGGACCAAGUCUUAAUUUCCACGGUGCACACCCACACGCCCGUCAUCUAGCAUGUGCGUCACCUCCAAAAUACUCGCAUAAUAUAAUAAUUCGGGGUUUCAUACCCUCAGGACCAUAUUUAAAACUGUUACUUACCUGAAACCGCAUAAUUCUUUAUUUCGCUAUGCCUUUAUCUCGUGAAUUGGCCUCCAAACGCCUCGAAUCUAGCCACAAUGUCACGACCCAAAAUCUCACCCAUCGUGAUGGCGCCUAUCUCAGUACUAGGCAAGCCGAUAAUCUCAAUAAACCACCAUAUCCUUUGAGUUUGAAAACAUAAUAUCUAAAUUUAGCGGAAGAAAAACUCACAAAUACAUAUAUAAACACUCCAAAAACCCGGUGUCACUAAGUACACGAGCAUCUAAUAUGAAUACAAGUCUGAAAAAUACGGUCCAUAAUAGUCUGAGACCAAAUGCAGUAAAUAAGGAGAUAGGGAAGGAGAGGCAAGGUCUGCGAAACAUGGCAGCUACCUCUGAAUCUCCGAAAAAUUAACUGUGCGAAAGAAAUCAACACCCGAUAUGGCCGGGAAUACAUGAAUCUACAUACGAAGUCCAGGGUAUAGUAUGAAUACAACCAACUCAGUAAGUAACAAUAAUAAAUAAAGAACUGAAGAUAGUGAUGAGCUACACANNNNNNNNNNNNNNNNNNNNNNNNNGGAUAUAAAAUCUUUCAGAGAAUUUCACAGCAAUAACAGAUAGCAACUAAGUGCAACAACAAAUGAAAAGCAAGUACAGCCUCUCAGGGCAACAAUCACUCAACUCGUCACAACAAAUCAACCACUCGGCUCUCAGCCCUCAGCACUCACACUCAAUGGGUACCCGCGCUUACUAGGGGUGUACAAACUCCGGAGGGGCUCCGACAGUUCAAGCGGUAUAAUCCACAUGGACAACUCGCGUGCUAUAGUAACAAUAUCUGAAUCCGCACGGACAACUCACGUGCUAUAGUAUAAUAUAAGAAUUUGCACGGAUAACUCACGUGUUACACAGACAACUCAUAUGAUAUAGUAUAAUAUCUCAUAAUCAGGCCCUCGGCCUCACUCAGUCAUAAAUCUCUCCAGUCUCUCGGGCUCUCAAUAAUCAUGAAAUCGGCCCAAACAACAAUGAUAUGAUGCAUCAAUAAUGAACAAUAGAGACCUAGAUAAAAUAACAAGUAAACUAUGACUGAGUACAAAACAACAAUUUAGCAGAUAAUUCAAUAUGUACACGACCUCUGUGGGUCCCUACAGUGCCAAUAUAUAAUCUAAACAUGAUUUCUAACAUGAUUUAUACUCAAAUUUCUACAACACAUAGAGAGCAUAUAGCUAACAACAAGUUAUUCAACUUUACAGUUUCACGGAACGGACCAAUUCACAAUCCCCUCGGUGCACGCCCACACGCCCGUCACCUAGCAUGUACGUCACCUCCAAAAUAAUCGCAUGACAUAAAAAUUCGGGGUUUCAUACCCUCAGUACCAGAUUUAUAACUAUUACUUACCUCAAGCCGUAUAAUUCUUUAUUCUGCAAUGUCUUUUCCUCGUGAAUUGGCCUCCAAACGCCUUGAAUCUAGCCACAAAUAAUUUGAUUCAGUCAAUAAAAUUUAUUAAAAUUAAUUCCUUGAGAAAAUACUAAUUUUCCAACAAAGCCCGAAAUUUAGCUCAAAAUUUGCCCGUGGGGCCCACGUCUCAGAACCCGACAAAAGUUAUAAAAUCCGAAAGCCCAUUCAACCACGAGUCUAACCAUACCAAUUUUUAUCAAAAUCCAAUCUCAACUCGACCCUCAAAUCUUCGAUUUAAACCAAGAGGGUUUUCUAAAUUUUCCAAAUUAAUUCACCCAGUAAAUAAUAAAAAUAGUCAUAGAUUCGGGUAAUUUAACCAAUAUUGAGUUAAGAACACUUACCCCGUUGUUUCCUCUGAAACUCUCCCAAAAAGCGCUUCUUCCCGAGCUCCAAUCCGUCAAAAAUGAAAAAAUUUCAGAACUUAAACUCUCUGCCAAGUCAUUUGCUCUACGCGAUCACGAACAAUCACACAUGAUCGCGAAGAACAGUUUUCCACUGCCCAGGUUUAACCUUACGCGAUCGCGAACAAUCACACGCAAUCGUGAUGCACAAGAUUCCUUCUCUACACGAUCGCAUCCCUCUUCACGCGAUCGCAUAGAACAAACGCGUGGCCCAGCUUCCUCUCAAGUUUUCCCUACGCGAUCACGGCCUCUUCCACGCGUUCACGUAGCACAGACUGGCCCAACUUACGCGAUCGCGGUUGACCUCACGCGAUCGCGAAGAACAAAAUCAACACUGCCUCAACUAAGCCUACGCGAUCGCAUCUCAAUCUUCGCGAACGCGAAGAAGGUCUGAAACACUAGCAAACAGCAGCUACCAGCAGUGCCAAAAUGAAGGAAAAUAAUCCGAAUACCAUCCGAAACACGCCCGAGCCCCUCAGGACCCCAGCCAAAUAUACUAACAAGUCCUAAAAUAUCAUACGAACUUAGUCGAAUUUUCAACUCACAUCCAACAACACUAAAAACACAAAUCACACAUAGAUUCAAGCCUAAUGAACUUUGAAACUUUCAAUUUCUACAAAUGACGUCGGAACCUAUCAAAUCGCGUCCGAUUGACCUCAAAUUUUGUAUACAAGGCAUAAAUGACAUAACAGAGGUAUUUCAAUUUUUAGAAUCGGAUUCCGACCCCGAUAUCAAAAGGUCAGCCCCCGGUCAAACUUCCCGGGAAAUUCAAUUUUUGCCAUUUCAAGAAUAAUUCUUCUACCGACCUCCAAAUAAUUUUUCGGACACGCUCCUAAGUCCAAAAGCACCAUACUGAGCUAUUGGAAUCAUCAAAACUCUAUUUCGGGGUCGUUUACACAUAAGUCAACAUCCUGUCAACUAUUUCAACUUAAGCUUNNNNNNNNNNNNNNNNNNNNNNNNNNNNNNNNNNNNNNNNNNNNNNNNNNNNNNNNNNNNNNNNNNNNNNNNNNNNNNNNNNNNNNNNNNNNNNNNNNNNNNNNNNNNNNNNNNNNNNNNNNNNNNNNNNNNNNNNNNNNNNNNNNNNNNNNNNNNNNNNNNNNNNNNNNNNNNNNNNNNNNNNNNNNNNNNNNNNNNNNNNNNNNNNNNNNNNNNNNNNNNNNNNNNNNNNNNNNNNNNNNNNNNNNNNNNNNNNNNNNNNNNNNNNNNNNNNNNNNNNNNNNNNNNNNNNNNNNNNNNNNNNNNNNNNNNNNNNNNNNNNNNNNNNNNNNNNNNNNNNNNNNNNNNNNNNNNNNNNNNNNNNNNNNNNNNNNNNNNNNNNNNNNNNNNNNNNNNNNNNNNNNNNNNNNNNNNNNNNNNNNNNNNNNNNNNNNNNGGACAGGUCGUUACACACAAAUAAUUCGAUGCAGUCGAUAACAUUUAUUGGAAUUAAUUCCAUAAGAAAAUACUAAUUUUCCAACAAAAUUCGAAAUUUAGCUCAAAAAUCGCCUGUGGGGCCCACAUCUCGGAAUCUGACAAAACUCACAAAAUCCAAUAACUCAUUCAAUUACGAGUCCAACCAUACUAGUUCCACUCAAAUCCGACUUCGGAUCGACAUUCAAAUCCCAAAAAUUUAUUUUUUGAAAUUUCUACAAUUUUCCCCAAAUUUUCAUCUCAAAAUACUAAUUGAAUGAUGAAAACAAUGAUAUAUUCAUGUAUGUUAAUCAAAUCUGAGUUAGAAUCACUUACCCCGAUGAAUUUCUUGAAAAACCCACGAACAAUCGUCACAAACCGAGCUCUCUAGGUCUCAAAAAUGAAAUAAUACCCUAGGCCUCGGUUAUAUAGUACACCCUCUGACCUCCCAAUGUGCGGUCCGCAUUGCGAUCGUACAUUUCCAAGUUCUACGGUCGCACAAAAAUUGUGCGGCCGUACUUCACAGCCUCUCCACUACCAGGCUUUGGUAAAUUGGCCAUAACUUUCUCUACAGAUGUACAAAUGAUGAUAUAUUUAUCUUUCUGGAAAUUAGAAACGAAGGGCUACAACUUUUAUUUUUAAAUCAUCUCCAAAUUCCUUGUGGAUCAAAAGAUAUAAGCUUCCGAAAUCGGACCAGUGAACCUGCAGAACACCCUGAAGUGCGGCCGCGGACAAAAUUGUGCGGUCCGCAUUUUUCCUCUGCGGUCCAUAUAUUUUCAUCUACUGCAGCACAUUUUCAUCUGCUACAACACUCAAAAAUGUGCCUCAGCACAUAAAAUUGUGUGGUCCGUAUUUCCAACGUUCCAGAACAACAUCAGAGUACCGAAAUGCUCGGACUCGCUCAAAACUCACCCGAGGCCCCCGAGACCUCAAUCAAAAUACACCAACAAAUCGUAAAACAUCAUACAAACUUAGUCGAACCCUCAAAUCACCUCAAACAAUGCUAAAACCAAGAAUCAUACCCCAAUUCAAGCCUAAUGAAAAACUAAUAAUUUUCAACUUCUACCUUCAAUGCCGAAACCUAUCAAAUCAAGUCCGAUUAACCUCAAAUUUUGUACACAAGUCAUAAAUGACAUAAUGGAGGUAUUCCAAUUUUCAGAAUCGGAUUCCUGCCCCGAUAUCAAAAAGUCAACUCCCCGGUCAAACUUCCAAACUUAACUUUCUAUUUUAGCCAUUUCAAGCCUAAUUUAGCUACGGGCUUCCAAAUAAUUUUUCGGACACACUCCUAAGUCCAAAAUUACCAUACGGAGCUAUUGAAACCAUCAAAACUUCAUUCUGGAGUCGUCUGCAUAAAAAGUCAAAUCGGUCCACUCCUUUUAUUUAAGCUUCUAAACAAGGAUUGUUCUUUCAAUUAAAUCCCGAAUCAUCCGAAAACCAAAGCCGACAAUUCACACAAGUCAUAGUACACAUUAUGAAGCUGCUCAAGGCUUCAAAUUGUCUAAAGGAGCGUAUAUGUUCAAAACGAUAAGUCGGGUCGUUAUAAUAAACUACACACCAUCUGGCAACCAAAAGAACCACUCAAUCUCAUCGAUUUGGGUUACUAUUACUAUCUUAUCAAAUUCACGGUUCAAGAAACUUUCCAAAAAGUUCUGCAAAAAUGGCCUUGGUUCAUCGGUUUACGAUAUCUAUCGAUUCGUCACUCGUAGCCCAAAUUUAACCCAUCUCAAGCCCAUACUCCUUUUUCCACCAUUUGGAUCCGUUUACCACAACUUCCUACGGAAUACUGCGACCUCCAAACUUUACAAAAAAUUGGAAACUUUUUUGGUCAACUUCUUAAAAUUGAUGCCUACACCAUGCAAACCACUCGAGGACAUUAUACUCGUUUAUGCAUUCUAGAGCCUCUUGAUAAGACUCUACCCAUUGGAAUCUUAAUUGUCACUCAUCUACAACCCAUUCACUACGAAGAAAUGACCCCACUAUGCAAGCUCUGCGACUGCCUAGGACACAUUUUACACUCUUGCCCGUCAAAACUCUCAAUUGGACCCUCCAACAAUGCUAAAGCCCAACCUCAUGAACCAAUCGUGACCAAUGAUGACAAAAGCCUAUGGCAUACAGUCACUUUUCCAAAACAAUACUAGAACUACUCCACAACGUACCCAACAUCCCACCGAACCAAACACACACAUACCCCCCACUUCCCCUAUAAUUACCCAAAAACUUGCCUCUCAAGCCACCUUUAUUACCCACAGUAUUCCACUUUUCAAUUGUUUCUUUUUUCCACCCCUGACCCUACCAUUGAUAAUAAUCAUUAUUCUCAUAUUCCUAUUUAAUAUGUUCCCCCUCCUUAUGACCACACAAGUUCUCAUAUGGAUUUACAACAAAUUAUCCCACCCUACCAUGUUUCAUCUGACAAGACCCCACCCCCACCAUAGCAAUUGCAUCACCUUUUUCAUCAAAUAUAAGUAUGCAUCAAACCUCUUUCACACCAACAUGUCUUCCCUAUUUCUUCUACUACCCACAUUACUACGAAAACCAAGGCUAUUUCUCCAAAUCAUUUCUUAAAUACGGCUGCUACUACUCAUCAUAAAAAACAAGACCAAACCUACUACAACACCCAAAACCCUACUACCUCUACUUCAACAGCAUCAUCCAUACCCAACCCUCUUUCACAAUAUCACCACGCCUCCAACACAGUCAACCAGAUCCAUAUCCUUAUGCCCUCAUCUACUAACACCACACCACAUUACAUCAUACCCUACCCAAUUACGAUCACCCACUCUGAUAAACUUACUCCGUCUGCUACAGGUACUCAAGUGCCAUCGGAACUCAUGAACGCUCAACAUUUUUCGGUCACCUUGUCACCGCCAAUGCAAGGUAAUGACUCAUCCAUAGCUAUAAAACCCAAUAAUCCCAUCCAUACAUCACCACAUCUGCUAUCUUCUUCACCCAACACUCCUCUUUCUACUAACAAUGCAUCGCCACUACCCUCCAAGACAUUGCCACCACAAGAACAGGAACCAUGUACCUCACAUCCAGAUCAACAACUACCACCUUUCACCUCCACACUUUCACUACCUCUCUCACAGCCCCUCCUACUGGGUGCCCCAAUAUCACCGCCACCCCCUUUCAACCUUGUACCACUACCACCACCAGAACAUCCUCUAGUGCACCUGCCGUUAAACCUUCUCUUAUUCCAGCAACAAGUCACGACAAUACUAGACCACAACGACCUACUGAUGACGUUUAUCUAGGAUGGACUACCAGACAUCCAUCAGCAGGAUCAUGCUAUGCAAAUCCUCCAUCUAUAGGAUGUUGCCGCUUUGGAACUCAACAACCAACUUACUUAAGCUCAGCAAUAUUUCCUCCACUUCAACUACUGCCGCCAACUUUGAAUAUACCCCCACUUCCAUAAUUCUAGCCCUAUUACAAUGGCCAGCCUCAACACGUAUUCCUAGAAAUGAUGCACCACGCUCCACCAUAGCUGGACAUCCCUCCGCGACCACUGACUCUGCCUCCAUCACCACCAUUAGCCACGCCAUCAUCGGACAUUGAAGACGAAGAUCAGAACCAUCAGUCUCUACAUUACACAUUUAUGGAGAGACUGAAUCUGAACAACCUCUCACUCUUUCCAUGCAAGAAAACAUCGAAAGAAGGUACUUGAUUUUGGAUCCUCCAAUGUUGGAGAUGACCUUCUUGAAUAUCCACCUCGACCCUUACUCUGUGGACCAGAAGUAUGUCAUCUUCUUGAUACCAACACUGCGUCCACCACCACUACCUCAGGAAGAGAUGGCAAACAACCAUCAACUCAUAAUGAAUUUGGCAAUGGCAUUAGUACUGGGAGGGAGCUCAUCCCCUACGACAAAUAGAUCUAUGAAGAUCAUGUUGUGGUGGAGCCGUGGCGCCAACUACCUAGAUUUUAGGCGUAACUUGCAUUUUUUGUUUAAUUGGAAUAACCCUACUAUUCUCUGUCUCAUGGAGACUAGGAUAGAGGACCAUACCUCUCUCCUCAAUGAGUUUAACUUCACUGAUCGUAUCCAAGUUUUCGCUCAAGGAUACUCUAGUGGUAUUGUCAUGCUCUGGCGCGCACAUGACCUCAUUGUUGAUCCAAUAGCAAUUACUGCUCAGGAGCUUCAUGCUUCUGUCCAGGUAUCCCCUACUAUACCUAUUUGGUAUAUCUCAUUAAUAGAUGCUAGCACAUCAUACCACAAUCGCCAAACACUAUGGCACAACAUACAACAGUUUGCACACGCUCAUACAAAUGCAUGGACAUUAUGUGGUGAUUUUAACGAAGUUUGUAAUACUAAUGAAAAAUUUGGGGGAAAUCCUAUUAACACUAAUCGCUCUGAAGCUCUUAAUAUGUGCUUACACAAUGCUAACCUGAUUGACCUAGGCUUUCACUAGCUCGCGUUUUACUUGGAGUAAUAAACUAAUGACUCAUAAUAAACUAAAUGUUCCCGCACUCCAAUGUUCUUCAUUUACCUCGUACACAUUCCGAUCAUUGCCCCUACUUUUCGGUCUUCAUAAAGCGACUACUAGACCUCCUCCUACAUUCAAAUUUGAAAUCAUAUGGCUCACUCAUCCUGAAUUCCAAUCUGUGAUCGCCACUCACUGGCAUCACACCUCUACAUAUUCUCAAGGCAUACAUGAUUUUGCUGAUCAUGUUCAACACUAGAAUAAACAUACCUUUGGUAAUAUUUUCUACAAGAAGAAAAUCCUCAUUGCUCGCAUACAUAGUUUACAAAAAAUAGAUCCCACCAGGCAAAAUAGCUUUCAUUAUAACCUAGAAAACUGCCUUCAUAUAGAUUUCCAAACUACACUAAGACAUGAGGAGGAAUUCUGGAAACUAAAGUCAUGUAUUAAAUGGCUAAAUGACGGUGAUGCCAAUACCAAAUAUUUUCACUUGUCUACAACAUAAAGAAGAUGAUGCAACUGUAUUAUCAAUCUACAUGACCACGUAGGGAAUUGGACAUUCGACACUUCCAUAAUCAAAACUACUAUACUACACCACUUCACUGAUCUAUAUACCACUGAAUUACUUUUAUGUUACCCUGAAUACUUUACCCCAUCCACUAUCUCCAUUUCCCUUACAAAUCAACAACAACUAUCUCGCUCACUUACACUUUCUAAAAUACAUUCCUCCAUUUGCUCCUUUAAACCUUUCAAAGCCCAAGGCCCUGAUGGCAUACAUCCUGUUUUCUUCCAACGCUUUUGGAACCUUAUUCAACAUGCUAUCAUCCAAACCUGCAUGGAUGCUUUCAACAAUUGCUCCAUCCCCCCUUCACCUCAACCAAACUUUUCUCACCUUAGUCCCAAAGAUUAAGCAUCCUUCCAAUAUUUCCCAUUACCACCCGAUUGGACUUUGUAAUACGAUCUACAAAUUAAUCACUAAAAUACUGGUUAAUAAAAUUCAGCCCUUUCUGCCAACAAUAAUACACCUCACUCAAUGCAGUUUCAUUCCUGAAAGAUAGGCUGUAGAUAAUGCCAUAAUAGUACAAGAGGCAAUUCAUUCCUUCCGUAAAACAAAGGAUCGCUUUGGCAAAAUGAUGCUAAGAUUAGAUCUAAAAAAAGCGUUUGACCGAUUAGAAUGGUCAUUUAUUUCGUACUCUCUCCAAAAAUUAAAUUUUCCUACCCCUAUUAUUAACCUUAUUAUGUCUUGUGUUACUACAUUGUCUAUCUCUAUCCUAGUCAAUGGGACACCCACACGCUUUUUCCAACCUUCUCGUGGUAUCCGUCAAGGAGACCCCUUAUCAUCCUACUUAUUCAUUAUUUGUAUGGAAACUCUUUCUCAAUUGAUUGAUGAAGCUACACAACUGAAAAAUGGACUACUAUAAGGAUUUUCCGACAAGGACCAACUCUUUCUCAUCUCAUUUUUUAUGACGAUCUUAUUCUCUUUGCUAAAGCAGACUUACAAAACACUCAUGAUAUCACUAUCAUAUUUCAUCACCUUUCUAACCAAUCUGGCCAACGUAUCAAUUUUUCAAAAUCCAAACUCGUAUUUUCAAAAAAUGUAUCGUAACACACAAAUUAAUUUAAGUUGUACAUUAAAUAUUCAUACAACAUCUAAUUUCAGUAAAUAUCUAAGUUUUCCUAUGCCUAAUUUCUACCCCGAAGUCAGCUGAUUAUCAGUAUAUUCAGGAUCGCAUGAAUAAUCAUCUUCAAGGUUAGAAAAUAAAAUUUCUUUCGCUAAGUGGCAGGGCUACCCUCAUCAUAUCUGUACUUAACUCCAUACCCACUUAUGCCAUGCAAACUAACAUACUCCCACACAAAUUCCUUCAUCAUAUUGAUCGUAUCAAACGUCAUUUUUUUUGGGGUUCCACUGCAUCCCACACCAAAUUACACCUAACUAAUUGGGACCUCGUUACUACACCUAAGUACCAUGGUGGAUUAGGGAUUCAAAAAUUACUCCUAAGAAUAUGACUAUGUUAUUCAGCGUAACAUGGCGCUUCACCCAACACCCAUCAACUUUAUGGGCCAUGAUCCUUCGAGGUAAAUAUUAUCACCAUCGUAGUUCACACUAUCACUGCAUCUCUUUUACUUCAAAACCAUAAGAUUCAUACAUUUGAAGAGUAUCACCAAAAUAGCUCAUAUAUGCCAUCAAGGCACUGUAUGAAAUAUAGGUAAUGGCCAAAUCAUUAGUCUUUGGUACGAUCAAUGGAUCUCCCCCAACUUCUCACUUUGUCAACUAAUUCAAGGACCCCAACUCUCCCAUGAAUCUACAUUGCUGCUUAGCCAUAUCAUCCUUCCUUCAACCUAUAAUUUAUCAACGUUAUCCUUUGAACUCCCUACCUCUAUCUCUCUCCUUAUCCAUAACACAUAUGUGCCCUCUUCUUCUACUCAUAUGAAUUUAAUACACUGGCAACCAACCUCUAAUGACUUGUUCUCUACUGCCUCCGCCUAUCGACCGAUUCUAGAAUAUACCUACACUACCCAAAAUUAAGCAUUUUCUCUGACUUCUCCUCCAUGGUAAGUUACCCACUGCUGCUCUUCUAAACUCUCGUCAUAUUCUUCCUCGCCCUGCAUGCUCCGUUUGUGGCCAUGCUUGGGAAGAUGCUUCACAUAUAUUUACCACUUGUUUACCCGCUAUCCACAUUUGGCAAUACUUUGCUAUUUUCGUCCCCAACAACAACCCAAUACAUGGCUUCAACGCAUAUGCACUGAUACUGAUGCUACUUACAUACAUCACCGUAUUGCUAUUCCUUUCCCGAUUCUCGUCCCUUUUAUCGUUUGGCAUAUUUGGCUGACACAUAAUCAUAAUCUUUUUAAUCGCUCAGCUUUACCUGUAUUUUAUCAUGCGAUUCUCACUCAUGCUAUUGAGUUUAACUGAUUAGCCACUACUUCACAACAGCCUAAACCCACUACAAUCAUUCAUGUUGGUUGGUCUCCUCCCCUUACUAGGUAUAAACUUAAUAUUGAUGGCGCUUUUGACAAUCACUCAAAAUAUGGAGGAGCUGGUGGUGUUGUCAAAGACUCUUCUGGCAACUGGAUUAUGGGCUUCUCUAAGUCUUUGUAUCUCACUAAUGUCCUACAAACUGAAUUAUUAGCUAUCCACUUUGGCUUAUAGCUUGUCAUUGAACAGAAUCUCACACCACUUGCUGUGGAGACUGACUCACAGGUGUUAGUCACCCUUCUAUCGACGACCAGUUCUAAAUACUCACAUUUAUUUGAUGAAUGCAGGCUGAUGCUCCGUAAUCCACAAAUCCAUGAGAUCCAACACACAUUUCGGGAGGGGAAUGGAGUUGAGGGUCAAUUGGCAUGUUUUGGCAAGCAAAGGGCUUCUGAACUACAUCAUGAUGCUAUGAUUUUUGAAACACCCCCCACUUUUAUAUUGUCUCGCUUAAUGUUUGACUUAACGGGAACUAUAAUCUCGCGUUCAGUAUCCUCUAUGUACUAGUACUUUUCGUUUUUAAUAUAUCAAUGCGUGUUAUGACAAAAAAAAUGAUGGUGAGUAAUUUGGAAAUCUAGCUCGAAUAAGCGCAAAAUGAAAGAAGAAGAAGAAGAAGAAGAAGUAAUAGACAAGGCAAAAUAAUACUACUGCUUAAUUAGGAGUAAAAAAGAUCGAAAAGGAGGAGGAGGAAACAGAAGGAAACAGAAGUAGAAAAUCGUCGGUGAAAUUAAAAUUCACCAAGAACACAUGUAAGUCAAUUAUUUAUGAGAUGUUGCAGAUUGAAAUUAAUGCACCGAUGACGUCAAUUAAUAUAUACAAAGUUAAUAGCAGGAAUAUUACGAAAAUGAUAGUAUAACGUUUACUCUAGCAGGACAUAAUGAUUUAUCACAAUCAUCACAUGUUAGGAUUUGUUAUUUUUCGUUUUUGUCAUAUCGAUGAUAUAACAAAAUAAAAGUUCAAUCAAGCUAUGUCAAUAUUAGACAGACAACAAAUCCGUGUGGAGUGCAGCUGGGUUAAUAGUUAUAUUUACACCGACCCAAUAAUACUACAUAUUUUCAAAUAUAUUCUUAUUACUAAAUCAUAAUAGUAAUUUAAUGCAUAUUCUCAUAUAAAUUUAUGACUUAAUCGAUCAUAAUAAAUUAGUCUGGUUUAACAUAAGCAUCAGAUGUACCAUGGUUUUUUUAAUUCAAUAAUUGGUCACUCUUUCUAUGUGAGAAGUGUGAACCGUGAAUAUAAAAUGCGUCUCUGCUUGUGUGAACUGUGAAUAAUGAGUGCAAAUUAAAGGACGUGUCUCAUAUUAUAAAAAUUGGGAUACACGUUUUCUUCUUCUCUUCUUCCCCAGAAGACUGGAACGAACCUCAACAAGAUAUAUAUAAGCAUUUUUAUUAGUACCCAGUGACACACUACAUCUCUCAAAAUAGCAAUAUAGACAGGAAAUUAGGGAGAAAUGGGAAACUGCUGCCUAAAGCCUGUAGAUAAUCUUUCUACCACUAUUAAGCUUUCUAACCCUCCUGCAGGUAUGUACCAUUAUUUUGGUUUUGCAAUUCAUCAGAUUCUAUCAAAACAAUUCAUAUUUCCAAUUGGAUUUAUCUAUGUCCAUUAAUGCCAAUGCAAAUGAUUUUUUUACAAAAUCGGUGUAAUUUAACUUGUUGUAGAACAUUCUUGUCUUAUUUCAGGUUACUAGCUAGUUCUAUUGAUUAUGACUAAUUAUCUUUAUUACCUUUAAAAUACUACCGAGUAUAGCGGAAUAGACUCUUCAUUCUUAACCAAAUAUCUUGAAUUCGGUAUUGGAAGCUCUUCCCUUUUAGUGAGCCGCGAAUUCAAAUUAGUCAAUCUAAUAGAUUGUUGCUGCCCAGUAGUUAGGAAACAUAUGAACUUUAGUGAUAUGAUAGUGUAAAAACAAUUCAUAUAGAACUUUUUUGUGUAUAUUUUCAGCCCUUGAUUUAAAUUUUAUUAUGCCAGCAUCCAAGAAACCUAGUACUUCUCUCAUCAAUAACGCCAAGGUGGUUCAUGCCGAGGGAACCACGAACGGUGGCGGCGGCGGUGGUGCUGGAAAAGAGGAAGUGGCAACAAGUGGGAAAAUUAUAACACCCAAUUUGAAAAUGUACAGUUUUGCGGAAUUGAAAAGCACAACGAGAAAUUUUAGACCAGAUACAAUAUGGGGGGAAGGAGGAUUUGGUAGAGUUUUCGAAGGUUGGGUUGAUAACAAGACAUUAGCUCCUUCUAAAGUUGGCAUCGGAAUGGCAGUUGCUGUCAAAAAAUCUAAUCAAAUAGCCUGCAAAGUCUCAAGGAAUGGCAGUAAAAAUUUAAGUUAUAUAUACGGACAGUUGAAAAACUUGUUGGAGAAAGUUGAUCAUAUAUUUCAACAGUGAAAAUGUUAUAAAAAUUGAACACAUUUUUAUGAUUGUGUGUGCAGGCAGAGGUAAAAUUUCUGGGAAAAUUUAGUCAUCCAAAUCUAGUACAACUAAUCGGAUACUGCUGGGAAGAGAAGCAAUUCCUACUUGUAUAUGAAUACAUGCAAAAAGGAAGUUUAGAAAAUCACCUUUUCAGAAGUAAGAACCUAUAUAUAUAUAUUUUUUUUUAUCCACAUAUUUGUUACAGAAUAUUUGAUAAUUACAAGAAUAUGUUAUCAAAAAGUUUGACACAAAUAUUAUUGUCGGAAAACUAGAAGAGGGUGCAGAAACACUUUCGUGGGACACAAGACUUAAGAUAGUAAUAGGAGCAGCUCGAGGUCUAGCUUUUUUGCACACAACAGAGAAGCAAGUCAUUUACCGCGAUUUUAAAGCUGCCAAUAUUUUAUUGGAUGGGGUAAUUUCUUUUUCUCUUAUUUGUUUAAAAGUUCAAUAGUAACUUAUUAAUUUUCUUGUUUUGAAUUUCAACUUUUAAUUUACGAAUUAUACUGUAUAAUUAACAAAGAGAUUAAUUGUUCCAUAUUAAUUACUUGGGGCAGGAUUAUAAUGCCAAGCUUUCUGAUUUUGGAUUGGCUAAGUUGGGUCCUGCAAAUGGCAACUCACAUGUGACCACAGGAGUUGUUGGUACUUAUGGGUAUGCAGCUCCAGAGUACAUGGCCUCUGGUAAUUUUUACCCUCUUACUACUUCUACCUCUUAGCUAAACAUAUGAUCCCACAAGUGGGGUCUGAAAAAGGAUUGAGUGUACGCAAUCUUAUCCCUCCCUAACUUGUAUGAGAUAAAGGGACUAUUUCCAACAAAAAAAAAAACGUUUUCAAAACAACUACUAAAAUGUAGUACCAAAAUCUACAUUUUUAUAGUCAAAUUGCCUAGUGUAUAGAACAAUAUUACUUAAGUGCAUGAUUCGAAGCUCAUUAAAAGUUUUUCUCUUUUGAUUUUAUUUUUCUUAUUCAUGAACCACCCCUUCUUCAUUAAAGAAAAAAUUUAGAAAAUGGGGCUAAAUCAACAAGUUAUGGGGAGAUUGGUUUUAUGACUCAUUAGAAGUGUUGUUUAGUUAAUGACCUUUUUUGACAAGAAAUAUGAGAGAUCGAUAAAUAAAUAGGAAAUCUUGUAUGAUCAUUUUAUUUUAACUUGUAAUUGGUCAUAGAAGACGUUUCCUCCUCUUUAACUCUUUUAUGUGGGUGCUAUAUGAGCAAGACCAAUUUUAGCCCCAAAUAAAAAACAAUAAUACAACGUAAGCUCAACAUGUUUGCGAUAAUUAUUCAAACAGUCGUUGACCUUGUGCUACUUUAUUUGGAACAGGACAUUUAUACGUGAAGAGUGAUGUGUAUGGUUUUGGCGUUGUAUUGCUGGAGAUCUUAACGGGCCUCCGGGUACUGGACCUGAACCGGCCCAAUGGAGAACAAAAUCUAGUGGACUGGGCCGAACCGUUAUUACCAGACAAGAAGAAGCUAAGGAAACUAAUGGACCCAAGGCUAGAGGGAAAGUACCCUACAAAGGCUGCAUUUGAAAUAGCACAACUAGUACUCCAAUGUCUUGAGCCUGAUCCUAAAACUAGACCUUCCAUUGAACAAGUUUUGGAGUCUUUGGAAAAAAUUAACACCAUCAAGAAGAAACCUAGAGAAUGCAAUGCCACCCACAACGUUCGCCUCUCCACGUUAAGAAAACUGUAAUUGGUAGCAACACGCACCAUUCACCCAUCAAUCGAAGCUAUUGAAGACGACCUGGCGUGUAAAUAUAUAUUUCUAAAGAAUUUUCUAAAUUACAACAUCGUUAUAGCAGGAUAGCAUUAUCUUUCAUUUUUCUUCUCAUGAUUUGCCCUUUUAAGUUACACUUUGCCUUUUAUUACUUGAGGGUCAUGUUUCCCUUUUUAUUACUUGAGGGAAAACAAAUAACCUUUGGGAAAAAAUUAUUGUCAAAGUACUCAUUACUCAACCUCACUUCUCCUCCCCCUUUUACCUUCUUGCCCUCUUCUCUAUGUAAGGCAAUCUUAAUUAAGUAAGAUCUAAUGGGUAGGCAAGUAAUACUGAACAGAAGCGCAGAGUAGCACCAAAAUGAGCAAGUAUGACAUAAUUUUGGCACAAAAACUUGAAAGUGUGAAACAAGGUAACAUAGAAAGAAGAUGACCGCAAUACUUGAACAUACAUCUGGACCUUAUUCAAGUGCAACAUAUAUUGUGUCGAAGUAAACACAAGAUAUCGAAGUUUGGUACAAACAGAACAUAAAAAAAACAGUACACUUUAUAGCACAACAAACAAACGUAAUGUUUUUCUUGGUUUAGUAUGCAACUUGAAACGUUUUCCCAGUAGCGUUUUCAUCUUAGCUUCAUCACAUUGUAGGCUUUACAGUGAGACGAGAAGCGACCUUCUGACCACAAGACUUGUCAGCCUGCAAUGAAUCCGCGCAAAAGAUUAGUUUUCGUUUCCCGCUCUUAAUGUAAGGAUAAAGAAUCAUGCGAAAGAAGAAAAACUCAAACCUGAGACAAGUAUGAUAUCCAUAUACUGCGUAUCUCAUAAGUGACUCGGGGAUCAGAUAAAUGCUCAACCCAUUUGCUAACAUAUCUGUCUUGCCUGAAAUAGUACAAGUACUCAAUUAUUCUGCAGGUUCUUGAGAGAGGGAAGAAUUGGCGAUAUUAAUGUUAUAGAACAACCAAAUUAAAUUACCUGUCAGGUUCCCAGGAUCUGUAUCUCUCUCCUGCCUGCUUGAAGUUGUUCUCUUUUUCAAUGACACACUAAAACACCAAUAAUAUAUAUGUGAGUGAAGAUUAAACUCAUUUAAGAAUACAACUCCCUGCACUGAUUAAUGAUUAUGAUGAACAAUAAGUAAAGAGGGUCUCACCAUUUCACGCCUUCCUGUCAAGACACGAGAAGGAAUUGGGUACUGUUCGGCAUGACGACAAGGAUCAAACCUUGAGGGCAAAUAAUCCACCUGCAACAUCAAGUCACAACAUCAGAAGAGUACUAAUAUGAACUUGCAAUUAGCCUUGGUAAGUCAAAAACAUUAGUAUACCUCUUCAUCGCGAUGCAUGAAGUUCAUAGCACCAUCGCGGUGAUUAUUGUGAUGAGCACACUUGGGAGCAUUAACAGGAAGCUGCAUAUAGUUUGGUCCAAUGCGGUGUCUCUGAGUAUCAGCAUACGCGAAUAUCCUGGUCUGGAGAAGCUUAUCCUCCGAAUAGUAAACACCAGGGACAAUAUGGCCAGGGUUAAACGCGAGCUGCUCAUUCUCAGCGAAGAAGUUAUCAAUGUUCCUAUUCAAUACCAAUCGACCAACUGGCAUCAAUGGCAAGAUAUCCUCAGGCCAGGUCUUGGUUACAUCAAGAGGAUCAAAGUCGAAUUUGUCUACAUCCUCAGUAUCCAUAAUUUGGAUAAAAAGUUUCCACUCGGGAUAGUUUCCAGCAGCAAUCGAGUCGUAGAGAUCCUUGGUGGCGUGGCUAUGAUUUGUACCUCCGACCCUAAUAGCUUCUUCCUCCGACAUGCACUUAACACCACAAGUUGGCUUCCAGUGAAAUUUCACAUAAUGUGCUUUCCCAGCCUUGUUUAUUAAUUGAUAGGCGUGAACACCAUACCCUUCCAUGUGUCUGUAAUCUGUCGGGAGACAAACAUCAUCGAAGAACCAAGCGAAAGUAUGCAAACUCUCCGGAAGGAAAGAGAAGAAAUCAAGGAUCCUCCAGUAUUCCUGAAUGUGUGACUUUGGAUUUGGUUUCAGUGCACGAAUCGUGUCAGGGAACGAUUUUGCAUCACGAUUAAAGAAGACGGGAACGUUGUUUCCAACCAGAUCAAAGU
rnacentral:lncRNA from 1 species